rnacentral:lncRNA from 1 species
GGGGGGGGGGGGGGGGGGGGGUAGCGAGCGCACCAGGCAGCCGGAAUGUAGAAGGCUCAUUACUGCAUCAGAAGGCUCAUUAAACAUUGCUUCAGCAUGAAUAAUGAAAAGAACUACAGUAUUACAAAGAAAUAUGUAUGUCACAAAAAAGUAACUCCAGAACACUAUUCUGGGAAUGAGGUCCCAAAUUCAACUUAGCGGACACGCUCUUUGAUUGGAGGCAGUCACAUAUCUUGGACACGCUCUUUGAUCACAAUAAACACAUCCAUGUGUGAUGUGUGUGUGUAUUGGGCCAGUUGGUAUGGUAUCCCUCUAGCUCCAGGAAUAUGUAUUGGGGCUUGUUGGUAUCGCUCUAGCUCCAGGAAUUUUGAGAGCUGCUCAUCGUCGGGUUCGGAAAUUCUAGGAUCUGGAUACUGGACUCAUUAAAAUUAUUGGUUAAGUAAUUUUAUUACUCCCUCCGUUCAUUGUUGUGGCUUUUUAAAUUUAUAGAUUUUGUUAUGCACUUAGAUAUACCAUAUGCCUAGAUACAUAAUAAUAUUUAUGAAUUAAAAAUCAAAAUAACUUAUAAUUUGAAACGGAGCGAGGGAGUACUAUUUUGGAUUAAACACAUAUAUUUAAUAUAGUUUACUUAAUGCUACAAAUUUCAAAUCCUACGUGGAUCUCGAAGCUCCAGAUAUGCCAAACACGAUCAUUUUAUUCUUUUCAAUAAAUUCCAAAUCCUGCACGGAUCUCAUAGCUGGACCUAUGUCAAACUAUCCCUUAAGAUAAAAUUAAGUAAUUGCGAGAACUUUCAAACCCUGGUGGAUAGGUUUUACAACAAAAGCUAUGCUCAAUUUGCAAUGGAGGUUGCUUAUGAAAUUCUAAGCUGCACGUGUGAAACAAACCAAAUUCGCCAAAGGAAAUUUUGAUCCUUGUACCUCUAUGUCCUAGGAUACUCUGGUUGUCAUAUACAAAUCCUCUUGUAGCAUGCCACAUUUCUUUGCAAUGUUGAAAGCAUCUAAACCCCGAAUUUGGGUUUCGGUACAGGCUAGAAAAGAUUUGUGCUGGCGGCUAAAAGGGCUUUAUGCUGGCGGAUCGAGCACCCGUCAGCAACUUUGAGCCAGCACAAAUAGCGGUCUGUGCUAGCGGGUGGCAUAACCAACCGCCAGCACAUUGGCAUUUUGUGCUAACGGUUGGUUAUACCACCUACCAGGAAUAUUUAUUUUCCCAUCUAUAUAUUAUUUCCCAUGAUUUAUUUAUAAUUUAUAUUUUUUUGACAGUUUGUAGCCGCAAAAUUUAAAUAUGUAUCUCCAACCACGUUGACUUAAAUAAUAAAUAAUUCGUAUUAUUAAAAACUGCAUCAUACAUAAUAGAUAAUUCAUAUUAUUCAACAAACUUGAAUAAUAAAUAAUUCACAUAAUUCAACAAUUGGAAUAGAGCUACAUCGGCGGUGCCUUCGUCCAUCAACGAAGGCGUGUGCAUUCGUCCGCCGCCAACACGCCAUUGGAUCAAAGAAUUCUCCGUCCUCAUGACAAAUCUCCCAUUGAAUGAACCUCGCCAUGUCCCUACAAAUGUUGACGAUGCCUCUAUCUUUAAGCACUGCAUUGCGAGUGUUGAUCUUAGACAUCUACAGGUAUACAAUAAAUGGAGAUUAGAAUGUAUUACCAUUAAGAAGUUAGCACAUGGCAGUGUAUAAGAGACUUACGUCUUCGGGGUUCGUCUCAGGGUGCCGCAUCUGCAGGUAUACAGUAAAUGAAGAUUAGGAUUGUUGGCGCUGAAAAUCGGCCGAUGACUCUCAGCGUCGAACACACGACCCGAGAGAAUCUGCUUAACUCCUGUUCGGGUUAUUGCCCUAGUACGGUUCACGCGGCGUGCCAGUCAAUCUGACCUGUUGAUUGACAAGGAGAGAAAAAUAUUAAAUUCCAAGGUCUCGAUCAGCUAAAGUUCCAAUGUGUCUUGAAAAGCGAAUCGGCCGAUUUACUGUAGGGAUGACCGGCUAUAAAACAACCGAUAAUCACGUAGCAAUUAUAAGGAAAACUACCAGAGCAACCUAAACAACACUACAAAAAGCAACACUUGGAAUAGAUUUAAUCGGCUAUAUGAUGAUAAAGGAUAAAAGUAAUAAAAGCCGACAGUUCGUACCUCAAGCUGGAUAAUUGGUGAUAAAAACUAAAAUAACAGGUAAAACCUAUGAUUCUAGUUGAUAUCGAUAACUGGUGAAUAAAUCUAAAUGAAACAAUAGCGAUGCGCCCGAAGUUAAAGCUUAGAUAUUACUUGAUAAACGCCGAAGGAACAAUCUCCGAAAAUUUACGGAAGUUGCUGGUAAACUUGUUUUAAGUGUAUAAAUUUUCAGAUUCGACUAUUCACCCCCCUCUAAUCGACAUUUUAGAUCCUUUCAGUGCCGUUAGCGGCUUUCACCGCAGUGCUGUUUGUUUGCCAGAACACAUGCCCAGUAGCCUUUUUCACUUGUUAAGGUGCUGCUACUCGUUUUUAUCCCCGGUACUGCUAUUUUCGGCAUCUCGUGAACUAUAGCACAUGUUUCCUUCUCAAAACACUUGUCCGGUUGCAUGAAUAGAUUCCCAUGUUUGGGAUGUGCAAAUGCAUAGGGAUCGGAAUAACUGAUUUCUUGAUUUAAUCAGAAACGAUUCUCUAUGAAAAACUGCAAACUUCUUAAAGCAUCUAUAUAUAUACUCCUAAGGAAAGUGAAAGGAUGGAUGGCAUUGGAAUUUAUGCUAUUCCAGAUAUGACCGUACCUUAGCAACUGGAAUUUGUUGCUACUUUAGAGCAGUGGAAGGUAGUGUGUGGUUAAGUAAAUCUCCUGUAACAUAAAAGGUCAUGGAAAGUGCAUCAGAACCCGUCACUUAUUUUGGAAUUUUAUAGUAAAAGUAAACACAUUGAGGAAGUAAUUAUCGUAUUCAAGAGGUGAUGAAUAAAAUCAGGUAUGUUUCUUCAAUUUAUUUGUAUAGAACUAACGUGGAUGGAGGUUCACUCACUAAAGUAUGGAAUUAUUUCCUAAAAAUGUUAGAUACAUGGAACUUUAUUUUAUUGAUUGAAAUGUUUCAGCCAAGUGAGAGAUGUUCGGUUUUUAUGUGGCUUUCAACAUUAUUCAUAUACUAUGGCUAUUGUUCAACUCCAUGUGGAAUUAUUCGAAUACAUUUGAGAGGGAAUAAGUGAUGUGGAAUUCAACUCGAGGAAAUGGUACUUGAGGUGCCGAGGACGUUUGUGCUGGAAUACACUAGAUGAAUUAAUUGAGAUCAACUCUAUUGGAAUAUUUCUUUAUGUACGUACAUAUUUGACCCGGGUACAACACGACGGAAGAGUUGGGAUUGUUUUGAUGGAUGUGUUAACGCACAUGAUCAAAUUGUAAUUGAUCACAUAUACACAAUUGAUCAUGACACAUGACUCACACAUGUGUGCUAGGGACUAGUAUAUAUUUUAAACUCACCAAACUAGCAUGUCUGAUUGUGGUUGGUGACAUGAUUUAGGAUAUACGGAUUUUUCGGAACACUAGAGGAGUUUAUAAAUAGAUCCCUAUCCUUUAGCCUCGUUAUGCAUUGUGAGCGACACCACGGAUAAGAUACUCGAUUUCAAUUUUUCAUAACAACUCUCCGUUCACCUAUUUAAUCGAUCAUUCAUUAUUUACAUCAUAUUAGUGGUUUGUGUCUGCUUUCUCGAAUAUAUACAAUCCGGCCCUUGAUGUACAUAACAUGUUAGUACCUAGUGUCAUGUGCCCUGUUUGUACUUCUUUUCUUGAUAAAUAUAGUUGCGUUUUGUAUUGUCCACUAUUUCCGGAAACCAUCUCAUGAUGUGGAACUGUAUGCACAUCGAUCCUUCCCACCAACACCUGUACAUGAUUUCAAGAUUCGUCUGAUCAAUUUUUUUGAAUGAAAUACAAAGUUAAGCUGGUGAAUCUGUGUUAGCCCCCACAUAAUUUUGUUUUUCCGCAUGCAAGAAAACACUAUUUUUUUAAUGAAAUACAAAGGUAAGCUGGUCAAACUAUUAACACCCCCCCAAAAAAAAAUCUUGCUUUACCGCCUGCAAGAGAACACUAAAUCAUUUUUAUAACCUAUUUUAGUUAUUUUUUAGAAUGUUGUUUCCUAUUUGCGGUACAGUGUAGGACUAUGGGGAAUAUAUCUGAAACUGGAAACUGCAUAGACAGUGUCUGUUCUUAAACAAUGAGCUAAGUUUGUGAUGUCUUUUUUUUCACAGAACAUUUACUACUGUAUGCAUAGUUUUGCUCAUUGAAAAGAUAGAUAGGAAAUUAUUUUAUAUAAAUGUUAAUUGUCUUUUAUUUUCUGGGCACCAUAAGAUAUCUCAAGCUAAUAUUUUUUAUAUCCUAAUGUCAGCUAAUAUUAGUGCAUAAUCACAGAACGAAGUGAAAUAUUGUAGUAGAUACAUACAUGCAUUAAUUAUUCAGAAUUUCAAUGUUGUUUCAGCAUGAAAGCAAUCGGUCUGUGUCAAUGCGAAAAUCUCUAUGGGGCUCAAUUCAAAUAGAUGCCUCUGCAGUUUAAAGAUUGAAUUGUUUUUCUGGUAAACUUAGACUUCAUACUUUCCCCCAAUAACAUAUGAUAGUGUAUUUUAAUUCCUCUUAGUACAUAGAGUGAUAGUUCUAUGAAGCCAUUGUACCUUGUUGUCACACCCAUGUUGUAAUGCUCUUGACCAUAACAUCAUUUGGUUUAGGCGCAAAUCAUGUUAAGCACCCAUCUCCUUUGGGAGGCUAACAUCUAGGAAAUACAAGCUGCAAAAGAAAGUGAUACAGAAUUACUAUGUUUAUCAAACUAACCAAAUUACAUCCUCAUGCUACUUCAUGCAGUUUGAGAUGUCUGCAUAUGCUUGUUCCAUAUGCUAAGAGCGUGACACACCUCAUUGACAUAAAAGCCAUGCCCACAAAUACGGCUUUAACAGCAUCCUUGCGUCCAGCAUAUUCAAAUGCUAAUGGUAGCAUUUCAUACAAUGUUAGAAAAGCCAUCACUCCUCCCACUACAAAAAAAAAUCAGUUGAGCGAAUACUUUUAAUUUUUUAAAGAAAUGAUUUUUAAAAAAAAAUGCAGUUACCUAAUCCAAGUAGACCUUCCAAUAAUUCAGGGUUCAAGUUGCUUGGGAAUAGGUAUGCUGCAAGAAAAUUUGGUCUCACAUUCAUUGCAUUGAGGUACAACGUAACAUAUGAACUCAAUAAGUUUUCAAAAUCAUGACGUGUUGCCAAUUGUAAAGUUUUAACCUUUGGAAUCAAACUUACCUUCUAGUGUUACGGAUAACAAUAAACACUAAUUAAAUUAUCCCUAAGCUCCAUGUGUAUGUUAACUGAACAUUAUUACGAAUUUAAUUUCCUUCACUAGUGCAUAGCAACAGAAUGUUCUAGUUAAUAAGGGAAUUUUUCAAUGCGUCUCUUGCAUCAUACUGAUUUAAGCAAUCUUUCUAAGACCCAGAUAGUAACCACUAACCAUUGGUAGAUUAGUCAUCACUUAUCUCUAUAUAUGCUGUUGACGACGCAUUCAUUUGGAAUUUGGAAUCGGGAUUACAGAAUGCUUUGCCGCUCUUUAGUUUAUAUUACUCCAAAAACUUUAGGUCUUCAUUGGAAUUAAGAAUAUGUUAAGUAUAACACAAAGGUAUUACCAUGUUGUGUUGUGUCGUUAAACCCCAUGUCUGUUUUAAGUCAAUAAUAUAAUAACAAAAGUUGUGCUUAUUAUGGUUUAAGGUAGGCUUGGUUCAGAUAUUAAUUAAACUGACGGUUUGUGCAAAGUACUGAUGAAGAAUAACUUAAAACAGUCAACCUACCCACAAUAACUACACCUAGUGGCUCUGCAAAGCCGGAUAGUGUUGCUAGUUUGAAGGCUUGCCAUUUGCUGCACCAGAGACAUGAAAAGUUAGUAUUGCCAGAAGUGUAAAGGUUAUUUGUUUAUUUUGCAGAUAAGUACCAAGUCAUAUUUGUUUGACCGUUUUUCAAACAUUCAGUGGUUAUUAUAUGAUAGAAUAUGUGGUUCAGCACUUUGUUACAACAUAUACAAAAAUGAAUUUCUGUAAAUAGAUAUAUAGUCAGUACCUGCAAGUGGCAAAGUACGCUGGGAGAGCUACUGAAAUACCCUGUAGAUGAGUCAAAGCAGCAACAGCAGAUAUUAGCACAUUUGAUUUGUGUUGUGAACUGAACUGUGCGGUGACUGGUGAGAAGAAAUAAGCUUACUGCUUGUAUAACUAUGUCCAAAUUCACCACAUUGUAAUAACUAACAAGUGUAUUGGAUACUAAUAAGGCCCUAUUUGGCGAGGCUUCUUUCGGUUUCAGCUUCACCUAUUUUGCGCAAAUCGAGGCACCGUAGUGUGAAGCUUUUUCUAAGCCGGGAUUACAAUGAACUAGAAGUUGGGUGAAGCUAGUUUUUUGAUUCAGCGGCUUUGGCUUCACAGGUGAAACUGCUUUGGAAGAAAUCCUCACAAACGGCCCUAAUAUAUAUCCAAUGUUUCUUUUGGUCACAAAAACUAGGAACUACAUGCUUCCAUGUUUGCACUUUGGAAUGGGAAUAUAAAGUUUCAUCUAUACCCACCAAAAGCAAUAGAAAGGCUGUGGGGUGACAUUAUUGAGAACGGGUGAGGUGAAAACCGUUUCGAGUUCCAUUCAAAAGCCAGUGUAGAGUCAAGAUUACCUCUGGAAUGUAGUGUAGAGCUAUUGCAAGAGCCAAGUUCAAACCGACACGGAAGCCCUGAUAGGUGGAUAAGAGAAUAGUUAGCUGUACAGCAUUAGAUAUUUACUAUUGAUAAUGAAAAUUCAGGUUCGUACUUGGACUCCUUUUGUCCCAGUUUUAAAGCCUGGGCUCAUUACAUAAGCCAGAAAAAGGCAGGUAAAUGCAUGUUUUGGGUUAUGAAGCUGAGCUUCAGAGAAGCCUGGCUCCUCUUUAGCAUGCAAUAAACAACUCAUAAACAAGGAAGUACAGGUCUACAGCUCAGGAAAAUUGGGCCUCAUUCAUAUUUUGAGAAUGUUAAAGGUAGCUUUUCACCAAUGACGGACAAGAAUUGAGCAUGUCUAUUAAGCUACCCAUCGUCCAGGGAUUAAAAUAGUUUCUUUUUAACUAAAAAUUAUUAUGAAAUGGGAUGGAAUGCGAUUGAUAUGACUAACGUGAUAUAAAAAUACAUGUGAAAUAAUAUAAGUAUAAAUGCAUAUAGUUGCCCAAAAAAACAGUAUUUGGUUUCAUUGAAUCUUGUAAUCAUCAACUGAUAAUUCAAUAGAAAAAAAGGAUGAGUAUUCAUGAGUAACUUAUUCAGUAAAUACUGAAAAGUUCAGUUGUAACUGAUUGUCAGAAAUAGUUCAACACUGACCAUGUGUAAAGAAAUAUCAAGUUAUCUAAACGUGGGAAACAAUGAACAAUACCUUUGUUGUUCCAAGAAAUGCAGCUGUACCCACAGGGAAGUUUUGCAAACUCACACCAGCAACUGUUGAUUUUUUUUUUUGAAUGCAAUCAUUAAGACCAAUUAAACUUGCAGGAAGAGGCAUAUUAUUACACGUAUAUAUGCACAUUGCCCUCUCUAGAUCAUUUAUUUAACAAUGAGGAAUUUCAUAAACUUGAAUCAUCAUUGUAUAUUUAUCGUGUAAUCAUGUGAUGUCCAUGAAAAAAUAAUGAUUAUAAUUUUGGUGUUUAAUCAGAUCCACCAAAAUAGAAACUAUCAACAUUAUAUCUUCAUUGAACAUGACCUGAAAAUUUACUGCAGGUAUCACUUGAUAAAUUAUAUUUACACGUACAACAUGACCUAUAAAGAAGUGAUGUUAUUCAAAACACUAGUAUGACAUAAUAAUUAUUAAUGAUAUUUAUUUUUACAGCACACGUGGUAUAUUUAUUUGCUUUCAUCAGUUUCAUAUUCCGUUUCAAGGUUGAACAUAAUAAAUAUAUGGAUACUGAUAGAACUCCUAAAUUGUUGUAUACAAAGACAUCAACAAAAUAUACAGAUAAUUUUGUUAGAAACUAUAUUCUGUAUAAAUCCAUCAAAGUAUGUUAGGCAUGUUCAAGGCUUACCAAUUGCUGUGACAACUACACUAAAGAUAACUCUUCGACGGUGUCGCAUCAUAAGUUGCUUUCCUGCUAUGCUGCCCCCAACCGUCUUUUAUGAAUAAAAUAUUGAGCAGAAAAUCAUAUGUUAGCUUUCCUAUUAAAAUGUGACCGACCAGUGAACUAAAUUAAGUCGAGGGAAGCUGGACCUGUUUGCCAUUUUCAUCUUCCAAAGUGCAAUCCGGCUCAGGGAAAACAUCAGCAAUUGUUGAAAAUAGCAGUGCUCCAGCAAAAAACUACAAUUCACAAGUAAAAAUGUUAAGAAGAGGUGGUUAUAAAUAAUGCCCAACAGAAUAUUUUGCAUUUCUUACCCAAAGGUUUCCUUUCAGAAAACCAAUCGCAUUGACAGCAUCAUAAGCCAAGUCAAAGAAAGACAUGCUCAGCAUUAGUCCAGUAGCAAAGCCCUACAAAAUUUUUGUUAUUCUUUGAACGUAACCCUAUGGGGAGUAGUUAGUUAAUUAGUAAAUAGGCAUAGCAUCAACCUGUAGCACCCCGAGUGUUUUGUUGUUUGGAGCACGAUUGAGUAUAGCCAACAGUGCACCUGGUGAAGAGUAUGCAAGUAUUAUUGGGAAAAAAAAGCAUUACGAAAAGGGCAGCUGCUUGAGGUAUAAUAAUUUAAUUAACAUCUUGCAUUCAGUGUCUGCCUAGCUGGAUUAUAAAUCCUGAGCUUCUCCAAAAAUGAAUGUACAACUCCUAUUGUUAUCAAAAGGCUUAUGGCUACAUGUAGUACCAUGAAACUUACUCUUGAGGAAAUUCCUGCUCAAAAUAUUUGUCCUUAUUGUUGGCAUGCAUGAGUAAAUAAUGUACUGCAACUCAUGCCAUCCUAGUUAUAUAAUGCAGAGAAUGAGAGAGGAAUUGAAGUACCAAGUGAGGUGCUUAAGCCGCCAACGAGGGAGAGAGUCAGAGCAACAGCAACUUUGGGAUCCAUGUAUAAUUCCCUUUAACUUGCAGAUGAGCUGUAGCGCUUAAUUGGGAGCCAAACCGUGAUGUGAUGAAGGAACUGAAAAGGCUGCUAUAGAAGAAGAGAAGUAGUGGAUGACAAAGGGUGUUUGGAUUUGGGAUGGAGAUGUGUUUAUAUAAAGGCCAGGCCGUGGUGGUAAUGACGAACCAAACCAACUGAUGAAGAAAUGGGAGGAAGGACAUCAUCAAGUGGGGCAGGAGGCUCAUACAGUGAUGGAUGACGCUAGCUUGUUAUCUUGGAAUGACUUUCUCUGUGUCUUUGUUCAGUUCAACCGAGGGGGUCAAGUUUGGAAUGACUUUGCAUGCAUGAUAGCCUAAUUCUCAGACACAAGUAGUGGUGGUUAAGGUAUGCCUGCACUGCAGGCAAGGUAAUUAUAUUAAGAAAGGUCUUUAAUUUAAUUCGGCCUUCAUCAUUCGAUCAUAUGCGUGCACAUAUACAUAUCAUUCAUAAAUGGACUUGAACCAUAUUUUGACCAAGGAAUAAGCCUUAGAAAUAUAUUUUUAUUUUUACCAAUUAAUGCAAGGAAUAGGAAAGGUACUAGAUGCUUUGCCUAAGCAAAAAGGGCUUGCGUGUUUGUCUGUGUCCUCCCGCCCGGUUGCCCUUUUAGGUUGGGUCUCAUGUCAUCACGCACCCAGCUGCAGCUGCUGUAUGAGAUCACGGUUUCAUGCAGCUUUUUCUAUUCUACUAGUAUAGUUAAAAGAUAUUUACAAAUAACAGUAAAACUGCCAACCAAUACUAGGUAUCCUAUACACGCAGCACGAGAAUAGCUAGUACCUGUUUUUCCAGGAAAAAGAAAGAGAGAAAGAAAGAAACCUUGUUUAAUACUAACAAAGACCAAGUGAAUCUUUAGCUACAUAUUGUCAGUGUAGUAGUUCUGCAACCUCUGCCCGACGAGAUAGCGCUCAUCCCUUAUCGAAUCGUGGAGCCUGACGACGAGCCUGCAGAGUACUUUGGCUAUAUAACAGAGCACACACAUGGCAAGGCUCCCUAGCCAUGCAAAACGAAGCACUGCAGAGUUCACGGGAGCAGAGUAGCCAAGUACUGGGGCAACGACUUUUGCGAGCACAUAAGGAACACAGACAGCAGACAGGAGCUUCACGAUCAUUGGCAUCAAAAUAUCUCGCAGCACCCACAUUGCCCUGAGCCCUGAAAACCCAUCCUCCCUUGCCUGACUUAGCUUCCUAUCCCACCUUUCAUCGAUGAAAUAGGCUAGGAAAGGGGCAACCCUUGUCCAGCGAACCUUCAGAAACGAUAAAACCAAAGUAGUUGCAUCGCUAAUUAGUGAACCUGAUUAUAACCCAAUCAAAUAGUAAUAAUAUGCAUAAUUAGCUACAAACCACCUUACAGGUUAGCAAACAAUUUUGUUGAUCCAAAAGUUUCAAGCUACAAUAUCAGGAAAGCAACAAGAAAAGUUACUGCUCACCAACUUAGUCCAGAAUUUCAGCAAUUGCAACCCCAGGAACCAGGUGCAGAAGAAAUCAAGAACUGGAACUUCAUUGUAGGGUGGCCCAAAGGGUGAUAUCAGCAGAUAAUCAACCAGCAAUCCGAUCAGAAAGGGAAUGAUGACAACCUGACAACAGAUAGAAAGUCAAGUCACUGAGCUGAAUCAACCAGAAGCAGAAAACUAAUAAUGAAACCACCUCGACUAACUCACCCAUAGGAACAAAAGCGGAGAACUCUUCAAAGCAGUUGUACCCCAAUUGCAGACAAUAGAAGCCAGAAGGCGUGUUCGCCCAGACAUCACGUAAGCAAAGGCAUCUCUAGAGGCAGCAAUAAUAGUUGACAAGAUGCAAAAUCCGACAGCAAAUGCAAAAAUAUCUGAGCCAAAAAGUUGCACAAGUAAGCUCAAACAGUUUAACAUAUGAACUUAGUCCACAAAGCAAGUCUAGUGAACUUCAGUGUACAAUCAUUACCAUUUGACUUCAAAGCACCUGCUACUGGCACCUGAGGGAUGGCAAACAACAAUGCACGUCCAACUGAGACUGGAGCAACAAGUAGAGCAGCAUUGAAUAUCACAACAAUAAGCCACGCUAGAACCAUGAGUAGCACCAUAUGAACAGCAGCAGAUCUCCUGGUACAUCAUGCCAAAAGGGGGGUAAAUGUUCAAAACAAGCUCUGUGCCAGAUUCCUCUGGAUAUGUAACAUUUGUUAAUUGAGUGGUGCAAAGUGGAUGAGAACAGCAAAUAAACAAGAUAUUAGGAGAAAAUACAUAUUUUCCCCAAGAUUAUCAUCAUUUAUUAAAAAGCUGGGAAGCUAGAGUGCAUGCGACUAAAUCUGAAGUCUGAACAAAACCAGUGGAGAAACAGUGUAAAUUUCAAACUACAUUAUAAUAUAUCGAGGAAGCCAAUGUUUGGCUGGGGAAGCCUACAGUUCAAAAGGGAAUUUUUCUAAUCUCCAGAUCUAAAGAGGCUUUCAGUGCAUUGAAUGGGAAUUAUCUAAUCAGAUUGCGAAAAUCUUCAAGAUGAUGCGGUGCUCACUAGUGCUUCCUUAUACACUCAAGAUUUAGUAUAGAAAGAUUAAGAUUGCCAAAGGCAUGAAAUCCAUAUAUAAAAACUAUUAGCAAUUUGGGAUAAAAGAUCCUUUUAUAAAAAGAUGCAAUUUAGGUACUUUUUUUCCUUUGACCGCAUAGGUACUUCUAUUGAUACAUAUGACUAUUUUGACUAAUCCAGCUCUGACAUAAACAUAAUAACACAUUACUUUGGCCAUUGAAUUUUUUGAAGGAAAAAAAACUCAUGUUACUAACUGUGCAUAUGUGAAUCUAAAUGGAAGUACAAGCAGUCGAGUAUAUAGUUAGUACAUAUUUCCUGAAUGAACAAAUAGAAAUGGUCAGACACCAAUCUAUAUCAAGCCAGAGGAAAGAAUUAAGAAUAAAAUUACAGCAUUGCUACUAACACUGUACAAACAGAUGGGGUGCAUACCUUUUGUCCUUAGCCUCAGCAGUCCUACCGUGCUGAUCUUUUGGUAUGACACUAUUCCCAAUCUCGGAUUGACCAGAGUCAUCAGGCUGAGCAAUCAAUAAAUCGGACAAACCAAGAACCUGUCCAGUAGUGGCAAACAAAUACCACAGUACCUUCUGCACAAGCACACCAGGCUGAAGGUAUUUCAGUGCAUUGCAAAGUAGAAACUUCAGAAGAAGAACACCAGAUAGUAACUCUGCAUAGUUCCGUGCUGCUUGCCAAAGUACUGUGCCCUGAGUUGGAGGAUCAAAGUAGCUGCAAUUUGCAAGCAUAAAAUAAAUUAACAAAUGAGGUGAGAUGCCAAAAGACUGACAAAUACCUUUUGUCACAAUGAAAAGCUAGCAUGGAUAACUUACGUGAUGUCUAACGGGAACACAGUAGGUGCCAAAUGAAAAGCAAUUUCAACAGGGACAAAAAUGACCAUUGCAACAUAGAUAACGCUGAGAAAAAGACCCGGCAGAAUCUUGAAAUAAAACUUGCAGAAUGGUUCCCCUAUCUUGAUUUGGCCUCCAGUAGUGUGGACAAAAGGGGCCCUAACUCCUAGCCUGAACACCUAUUGACACGCAAAACACAUGCAUACCGCUGGUUAAUUUCUGAAACAACAAAACAACAUGCAUACUGACAUGCUGAACCAAGAACCACAAUAUGACAUACCGGGUGAAGAAGACUUGAAAGUGAGGAAUGCAGCUUCAAACAGACGCAUCCAAUAAGCCAGUGAAGGGCAGUAGAAGCAAAUGAUGAAGCAAAUAGAAGUUGGAGCUUCUGAGGUACUUUCACCCCAAACAAUUUUGAAGUGCAGAUAUCAAGCAACCAGCCAAAGAACAAUGGGCAUAUCACAAGUAUCGCUGCAAGGUUAAGAGAAACAUUGGCUACACUUACGAUCCCCCAGAAGAAUUGCUGCAAGAAACUCCAUGUCCUGUCGAGCAUCCCAUGUAUGCUAGGCAGCAUUCUAAGAGGGCUAGACAGCCAGCACACCCAGUCAGUUAAUACGCCAAAGUAAAUGGUGAUGGUGGGGCGCUCGCCCCUUGAGUAUUGCUGGAAAGUAUGCAAGCCAGUAAAGAGAAGCGCCACCAUAAGGAUAAACCCAUAUCCAACUAAAAGUACCAUGGCUGUUGAAGUGUAGGAGCGGGCUACAUCCACAGUGCCAAAACUGAAACACGACGUGCAGCAUAAUACUAUUCUUCCCAGUGAGAAGGGGAGAAAUCCAAGCAGAAAAGCAAAUGCCACAUCACCUACCACCACCUGGAGAGAGAAAGAAAGGAAGAAAGAAACGCAUUGGUCAGGAACCGAAUAAAAUCAAAUUAUCUGGGAACAAUGAGUAAAGAAAGAGAGGGGAAGGAUUUGAUAAAUCCAAACAUACCAUUAGGGAAGCUUCAACGGUGUGCAGCGCAAGGAGCUGCAAGGUAUCCAACCCUCCAAAGCGGCGCUGCAGGUGAGCUUCGACGCGGGCCACCCAAAGCGCAAGGGGAGCAAGGGCGUCAGCAGCGAUCCUGGCAGGGGCGUUGAGCUGCCUAAGGUUGGGGAGCUCUCUGAGGAAGGCUCUCCUGAUGGAGGCGCAGGCAAGGACGGUGUCCGGCGAGGGCAUGAACCUCAGGGCGUAGGGCCUGGCGAAGGCAGAGGCGCGGAGGGAGAGGAGGUGGCGCACUUGAGCGAAGGUCCUGGAGAGGGCGAGGCGCCAGACCCAGAGGGUGGUGAGCGGCAUGAGGAACUCCCAGACGCAGACGGCGAAGAGGAGGGAGAGGAGUAGGAGCAACCAGGCCAUGAGCUUGCUGGCGAGGCCGAGCAUGAACUCGGGGAGGGGCAGCCUGGCGGGAGCGUUUGCGGCGUAGACGGGGGCGAUGGAGAUGGCGCGCUUGCACACCUGAAUUGGAUUGCAUAGUAGCCUCGUCGAUCAAUUCCAAUUCCGUUGAAGAAUCGAAGCCAGCACAGCAGGCGCCUAAAACCCCAAUCGAUUUUCUCCCCAUCCGAAGAACAGAAUGGGAAUGGAUGGGGAGCAGCCAAGGAAACCUCACCUCGCAUAUGGAUGAUGCCGACGCCGUGCUGCUGCCGCGUCGCGUGGCGAGCCAUCGGAGCAGGCAAUCGUCAUGGACGAACCUGAUGCUUCCGCGGCAGGCGCAGGGGUGGCGCAGGGGGCGGUCCGCCUCGCCCGGGAGGUGGCAGAUUCGGCACGCGUCCUCCUCUUCGCCGGGCGGGAGACGAGCGGCCGCCGCCGCGUCGGCCAUAGUUGGCCUCGAAGGAAAGAGAGGAAGCUUCCGGGCGGGGGGAGAGGAGCGCAGGCCGUAAUGGGCUCCGCCUGUUGUCGUGGCCGGGCCGUGGGCCACCUUCAGGCUCUGCUGCUGGUUAUUUAUUUUUAAUGCACCGAGCCACUACUGGUUACAACAACUUGUGCCUAUAAAUUGCUACCAGAACCAGAGAAUAGACAAAACAAGGAAUUAGAAAAGGAGGGGGUUUGCUACUACAAAUGUCAUCAUCAAAUCAAAUUGAUUAGAGGCGAGCAAUGUAUUGUAUUUACAUGAGACUCAACUCAAUCAAGCCUAAUAACCUACUCUAAUCUCCUAGUAUGUUCUCCCUCCCUUGCCUGGGUCUACGUCUAUCUUCUUCUAGCACCCAAAGGACUUGGAGGAGUAGCAUAUUCCUCAAAAUAAAUAACAAAAUUCACCACGCAAUCACUUGGUUUCAGUACUUGCCCUGCUCAUCUUUCCCUUCCCUAGCAAUCAAAAGAUAGUCCCAACAACAGAAUAGGCCUGCAGUUACUUAUUAUAUAUGCCGCAGCUUGCUCGGUGUAGCCUACAUAUCACCUCAUUCUGCAAUCUGCAUGCGGAGAUGUGGUGUUUUUCAUGCCAUUUAUACAGAAAAUCACCAGGGCGCCAUUUCUUCCCCUCCCUUCCAACAUGUAUUUGCUACGACAGCUUCAUGUCAAGCUUGCCUAUAGUAUAGUACAUACACACACCAAAAGAAGCAACCAUUAGGGGAAAAGGAAAAGCAAUACAACCUUCAUUGCCACAAUUUAUUUCUAUUAUAAAAGAAGAAUCACAAAGGUUCUGGCCUUACCCCCACUGUGCAAAUGAACAAGUGAACUCAAGUGCUCUUCAUUUACAUGUACUGGCAAGGAAGGCAUCUGACCCAUGGUACCCCGUGUCUCCCUCAUUCUGUAACAUGGACAAAUUACUUCACUUGGAACAUGGAAAAUUCAGUUCCACUAUUUAGCAGCUCAAUUGCCAACCGUGUGUUUGGUUACUGGUCCACUAUUUAGCAGCUCAAUUGCUAACCGUGUGUUUGGUUAUUGGGUCGGAGUGGGUUGGAAUAUGUUCGACCCACUUCGACCCGUGUUUGGUUGNNNNNNNNNNNNNNNNNNNNNNNNNNNNNNNNNNNNNNNNNNNNNNNNNNNNNNNNNNNNNNNNNNNNNNNNNNNNNNNNNNNNNNNNNNNNNNNNNNNNNNNNNNNNNNNNNNNNNNNNNNNNNNNNNNNNNNNNNNNNNNNNNNNNNNNNNNNNNNNNNNNNNNNNNNNNNNNNNNNNNNNNNNNNNNNNNNNNNNNNNNNNNNNNNNNNNNNNNNNNNNNNNNNNNNNNNNNNNNNNNNNNNNNNNNNNNNNNNNNNNNNNNNNNNNNNNNNNNNNNNNNNNNNNNNNNNNNNNNNNNNNNNNNNNNNNNNNNNNNNNNNNNNNNNNNNNNNNNNNNNNNNNNNNNNNNNNNNNNACACUCUGAAUGAUCUCGCACCUCUCUCGAGUCUUGCAUGUGUGGCGUGCACAAUCUCAUCUAAGUUUCAGAUAGUCGGAGAGAGAGUCAUAGUUAGACUCAUGCAAGAGACACGCGUCCAGACCUCGACACUCCUGUUUGCAUUUUUUUGUCUUUGAUUACUAACGAACAAAAUACAUCUAUCACAUCUAUCAGAAUUUGUUUCCGAGAAAUAUUUGUUUUUGCUUCUUUUCCCUAGAUUUUCUCUUAAGAAUAAUCGAUCGAACUAUGUUGCUUGCGUCACCUUGCCCGGGGCGGGAGGAGGUGUCGCGGGGGCGGCUGGGGAGGCGGAGGCCGGGGCGGGAAAAGGCGGCGCGGGGGUGGCCUGGCCGGGGAGGUGGGGGCUGGCGGCACAGGGAGGGAGGCGGCUGGCGGCGCGGUGAGGGAGGCGGCUGGCGGCGCGGUGGAGGGGGCGCGCGGACGCCGGGGAGGAGCUGCAGCCGGGCAGCGCUAGAAGGAGGCUGUGCGGGGAGGAGGAAGAAGAUAGAAGAGGGAGUGAGGGAAAAAAAAGGGGAUGACAGGUGGGCCCCACAGCUGAUAGGUGGGGCCCACAACUAACGGUGUUAAAAGGACAUCCAUCCCAACCCUCUCAACCUCUUCAACCAAACAAAAGACUAGGUCCAACCCAUUCCUCUCAUUCAAACACGAGCUGGGUUCACUCCAACCCACAAAAGGGGGCUGGCUCCAACCCGACCCACGUCGUCCCAAAACCAAAACGCAUGCUACGACAGCUCCCAUGCAAGGUUCCACUUUCAUAUUAAUUACAUAGAGAACCCAAAGGAAUAAAUGAAAAACAAGCAAUAGCAAUAUCAUACCUUUCUGAAAUUGCUCUUAUAUUGUUAUUCAUGCGUAGAAAUAGGUCCAUAUUCUCCUCCGUCUACAAGAAAUUUGUAAUCACAGAAAAGGUUAUAAUGACUCAAGCUUCUUUUUCUUAUGAGUGCCGGACUACGACUCAAACUUCCAUGCAUAGCUUUGAACUACUAUGUCUAGGUCUAUGUGCUUUUUUAAAAAAAAAAUCAAUCUAUGUGCUUUGCAACCACUUUUCAUCUCCAUGUUUCAUCUGUUGACCGACAGAUAGUGGAUGCAACCCUUGCAGCAGUGCCUAGUGCGCUCCUCUGCACUUAAGUAUGAUGCACUAAUACAUUUAGGAUCAUAAGUGAUAGAUAUUAGACAAAGUAUAUCAGUAUCCCAACCUUGAAGGUUUUGAUAUUUGCAGCAAUCUGGCUGAGUAACUGAUUAUUUUCCUCCAGAAGAUGCUGAAUUGCACUAUCUAAAACAGGGGCUGCUUCAGAAGGGAAACAAAGGAGUAUCGUCAGGAGGAAAAAAAAAAAUCAAUCAGCACGAAAUAGUUCCAUGAAAUAACAUCAGCAAGGAAGAAAUUUUUCAGUAAUUUGUCCAAACUGUAUGUUACUGUAUUACAUUGCAGUUUGUGCAAUAGAAGUACAUAGCAAACAUGCAACAGCACUGUUCACAGGAACUGUCAGAGCCUCAUGCAUUGUUCAUAUGAGAUGCAUUGGCACAUGUUAGUUUAUGGAAAUUUGGGAGAAUAUUAGUAGUUUUGUCGUGAGAUCAGUAGGGAUUUUUUUAGAUAUGUAUGCCUGUAUUAGAUAUAAGUUUCAUUCAUUGUCGAUCAAAUGAAGGCAUUGUGUCUUGUUAAAUUAAGAAGGAAUGCCCUAUCAAAAAAAGAAGAAGGAAUGUGUCAGUAGCUAUUCUCUCCAAAAAGGUAUUUCAUCCCAGUAUGCAACCUUUGUCUCCCCUAAACUAUCAAAAAAUAAAAUAAAAAACUUUGCCUCACAUCCAUUGCACCGAUUCCCUUCAUGGCAAUAUACUCUGUUCAGUAGUUACCGUCUUGUGAGGUAAGAAUCGUCAAAAUUAGUGUAUAACAAUUCAGACAUCAAUAAAGAUACUAUCGAAAAUCAUGAGACUUUUAGCCAACAUUUCUCUAAUUUUACAGCAUAGCUAAAGCUUGUAAGGCAGAUAUUCGUGCACAUAUUCCAAUUCUAAUACUCUACAUUUCACAAUAUUGUUCGUAUGAAACAUCUGCACAGCCCAAUGAGACAAGGAACCAGUAAAAAAAUAAAAAGAAUGAGAAAUUACUUCCACUACCACUAUUCAAUGAUGUACUAUGACCGAACCCUUUUUCUCAGCAUUGAAGUAGGGCUAGAGACUGGAAAAAAACACAAUGGCCACACUUCUGAUUUCCUCAAUGGACAAACAUUAUUAAAACGAUGCUCCCAAGAAAAUGGAUGUCAUGUGUACAAGUCGCUUGGGCCAUGAGCCGGCCCAUUAGGGCGUGUGGGCACCGGCCCAGCAAGGGGCCGCCGUCUUGGUUAGGGUUUAGGAAGAGUCUAGAAAAUAGGUUUGCUUGUAAUUCAAGUCGAGUUAGGUUUGUUUGUGAGUCAAGUCAGCUCCUCCCCAUAAAUAUGAGGGGAGAGGCAAGGGAUUGAAUCAAGUAGGAAAAGGGCUUAGUCCCAUCCUACCUUUUGCUAAGAAAGUCUCCAACAGCUCUCCAGCCUCCCUGCACCCUAGCCGCCGCUGCGCUGCCUCCAUGUCGCCCAGCGCCGCCUCCACGCCGGCGGCAGCCCUGCCGCCGCCGUUCCCCUCCUCUUCCUAGGUGCGGCCAGCCCUAGGCCAGCCGCAUUCCCCCCUCUCUAAUCCCUGAUCCCCCUCUAAUCCGCUACUAAUAUUGUCAGGGAUCUCUAACCCUGACAAUGGAAAUAUACUGUGAAACCGUGAAGCAAUACCCUCGGUUGGAAUAAGUUUACUUCACCCCCUCACCUAUUCAAGGUUGACUGUUUAAUCCCCUCGCCUAUGGAACCAGGUAUUCUACCACCCUCAACUAUUCAAAACCAUGUAAAUAACCCCCAGUGGCAGUUUUAAAGGUGGACUAUGACGAUUACGUGGCACUACACAUGGAUGAUGAAGUGGCGGGAUAUGCACCCAAUCAUGCUGGAAUCAGCAUUUUCCCAGCUGCCAAGCUGCGCUGACUGCCGCAGGGCACCACGCCAUCCACAACUCUACCAACCAAGCCCCUGUUGUCGGCAACAAGCUCCUUCCUGACAAGAAGAAGCUCGCGGACCCUUCGUUCUCUCCCCGCUGCCAUCACUCCCAUCUCCUCGCCAAUCUUUGAUCCGGCGGUCGUUCAUAUGUAUGGAACAUUACAUUGAAAUUAUUUUAAAAAUAUACUUUGUGGUAGAUCUUCCUUGCUAGGCGGAAGACACCACUGGCAGGUCCCCUCGGGGGGCUUGCCUGCGAUAGUGACCGACGCGAUGCUAUACCGGAAAGGCCCCUCGGGGUGUUAGAAAGUAUAGGAUGUGUACAGAGCAGUGCUUGGAAAGGAUUGUGCUUCGGGCAAACCCCUUAAAGAGGUUUUCCCCCGAACCCCCUUUCCAAAAAAGAUGGAACGGAACUGUGGAACCUAACUUUUGUGAUUUUGUUCAGUGGUUAGGUUCCCAGAACUAUAGUAUAACUCAUUAGCUACACCCCCGCCCUCAGGGUGAAGGUGUUCCCCCCGAGACCCCCCUUCUAGUUUUUUAUUUUAAACUAGUUCGCCCUGAGCCGACUUGGGAUUAUAAAAGAGUUAUACUUGUUCUGCCCGACCUUCAGGAUAGUGAAUCCUUCCUGCCAGGAAGGCUUCCCUCUCCCUUUGGUCUAUCCCAUAUCAUAGUCCGUAGUGACAUAUAGGCAAAACCACCUCUAAAACCGCCACAAGGGGUUAUUUACACGGUUUUGGAUAGAGCGGAGAGUAGAUUACCUGGUUUCAGAGGUGAGGGGGUUAAGUGAUCAACCUUGAAUAGGUUGGGGGUGAAGUAGAGUGAGAAACUAACAAGGAGAUCAUAGACUUGGAGGAAGAACCUGGGAGAAAGACUAAUCACUAACGUAUUCUACUUCUUGAUAGUAAAUUAAGUGUGCGCAAAACACAGUUUACCCGCAUAGGAUAACUAAAAAUUGUCCUAAAUGACCAUGCUGUGUUCAGAAGAAUUGUCCACAGGUAACUUGUUCAGCAACGAGAACCUUUUGUAAUCCUCAGCACAGGGCAACAGCUAAACUACCCUGCAAUACUGUGGGACGUGAGCACUGUGUAUAGACCCUACAACAUGUACAAGUACUGCUGACAGAUGAAGACCACCUGGUAGAGAAGCCAAGAGUCGGAUUUAAAAAAUUAUGACAAGAAAUCGGACCAUGAUUGUGUUCAGAAGUAUGGUGAAUGUUUUAUUCUUAGUAUUUUAUCCACCUUCCAGUCAGGCAACACAGGUCAUUGCCCAAUUCAUAUGGCCUAAAUUUACCAUGUACCUCUCUUUGAUAUUUCAGCAAAACAGCCUAGUAAGUCAAGUAUGCAAUGGGCCUGCCAGAGCCUAACAAGCAAAUGCAUCUAAAGGUUGCUUCCUAGAAGAAGCAGAUAACAUUGGUAACUACUGAAGUAGUGCACCUGCAGAUCCAGGCCGCAAACUCAUGUAUCUACCAUCCUCAAAUGACCAGCCAUUUUCUACUCACAACAGUAAUUAAGGACAAUACUGGAGAACUAUAAAGCAGCCCUAACUGUGGUUACGAUGCGAACGCUAUGCUAAUCCUACAGUUACAAACUGCUCUAUAAACAAUUGAGUUUGAAACAUGUCACACAGAGCAAACAGUUUACCACAUCCAAGGGAACAAAUCAUCUAUUGAUGGACCAACCUUCCAUAGGAACCAAGCUAUUUUGACUUGGAUGAUGCAGUGAUAAUGGAAGCAGGAAUGCACUGUUUGUAGGCGGCAUUGGAACGUUAGCUGCCGAGGUAGAGGCAACCAUCUUAUUCUGCAGUGAUUACCCAGGAAUUUAAUCAUCAGAAAAAAAAAAGAGUACAGGAUUUGCAUAAGCUUUAAUAAAGCUACUGGGGUGCGUAUCUGAAUGAAUCAUUCGAUUUUUAUACAAGAAUACCUUCAAGUACGUCAUGUUUUCCCCUGCAUAAUAGUCAUCAGGUUUCCUCCUCCUAGUUUCGUUUCCCUGGAAUGGCGAUAUAGUAGAGCAAAAGAAAUAGGCAAGUUAUGAACAACCUAAGAAGUAGCAACAAACUAGAGGUGGAUGCAUGAAAGAGAAGCUAGAAACUUACAGGAGUCCAACAGCAUCUUAGUGCAACAUCCCUAAUGGUCUUAGCCGGCAGCAUAGCAGCAAUCUUGAUGUACUUGGUAAUAUUAGGUUCAUGGGCGUAUCUGGCAAAGAGUAACAGGUUGAUAUACUGAAGGAGAGUAAAUGCAGUAAGCAGGCAGAGGGUGUUUAACCUGAUGAGGCCCUCCUCCAAGGUUGCAACCUCGUGUGCGGUCCAAUCGGCAGGCGAAGCGGUGACAAACUUGUACUUUUUUGGAGCUGAUGGAAGUGAGGAGGUGGUGGCGGGGGGCAUAAGGGUGGGAUCGGGAGUGGACGACGUGAAGGAGAGCAUGUGGUUGUGGUGGUGCGGGGGAUUGUAGGAGGAGGUGGUGGGGAGCCCCUGGCCCUGAAGCGGGUAAAAGGCCAUGGCCAUGGCCAUGCUGCUGGAGUCGGUGGCGGCCAUGUCCCCGAACAUUUCUCCCUCCCUCCCCUCCCCUCCCCUCUCCUCUCCUCUGAAAUCGAUCGAUUGGAACCCUAACCGCCAACCCCCAUCCCCAUCCCCAUUUGAGAAGGAGAAUCGAAUGUACUGAGCUUUUUCUCCCCUCCCAAGCAGGACCCAACUCGGCCGGCGAGGGUGCGGGUGGGGCUGAGGAGGCGGCCGGCGAGGGUGCGGGUGGGGCUGAGGAUGCAGCGGCGGACGGGAGGUGAGAGACGAUGGGUGCCUGGAGGAGUGAGAGACGACGGCUCGCUCCCCCCAGGGGGCAGGGGCUUCUCCACGUUCCAAACGCUAGUUUCGAGCCCAUCCGGAGCCGAAAAUAGCAGGCGCGUAUCACAAAAUAAUAUAUUAAGUGGAUAAGUUGGUACAAUUCAUCCAAACAAAACAAAAGAAUCAAAUGAUACAACCAACCAAACACACCCGAGCAGAAAAUUGCCUUCCAUCGACUACAUGUCAACGCUUUCACAGCAUCUUUUUAAUAACCAGAAACUAAUGACCAAACACGAUUUCUAUCAUUCCGUUCUAUUCUUGCACAAAUACACCAUAUAAUAAAACAGCAUCACAGAGUCCUCUCCAAAAACAUGCAUAUCAACUGAUGCCAGGAAUGACUUUGACACCCCUUUCACAAUACAGCAUGGUUCAAACAAGGGAUUCCACUCAUUCUUUUCACACAUGCGCCUUCAAUAGGAACUUACUAUCUAGACCAGAAAUAUUUAUUGCAAUAGCAAAUGAGCUUGCUAGUACAUUUCAGGCAUCUUGACUUUGUGUUUGUGUCACCACACACACAUCUCCUCAGCAGUCGUCACUACUUCACGCCAACCGAUGCCAUGAGAUCCUCGUACUCAGGGUCCGCCCCCUCUGUUUUCUGAGCUGCCGUUGGUGCAAAAGGAUUGUAGAUUGGAUUGCCACCCUGCCUGUCUCUGCUUGCAAAUGGAUUCGCCUGCGAUGGUGGCCUCGGCUGGAAUGGGCGGGAAGGCAAGAAAUUUGAUGGCCCCAGCAUAGGAUGUGCUUGUACUGCUGGAGGGAUUCCCGGGAAACCCGCAGGUAACUCGAGAUGAGAUGGAUUCCUGGGGAAGCCUCCAUGUAAGUGUUGAGGUGGAUGAGGUGGAGCAUGCAUCCGAGCCUGACCCAUUGCAUUCAAGGGCCUGCCAUCACAAGGCCUUUGGAAGCCUUGAUUGGGACUCUGAUUGCCAGGAUGGAAGAAUGGAGCGCCAGGGUGACUUCUGCCUUGUAUUCCCAUUUGACCGCCUGAUGCUGCAAAAUCUGGAGUAGGUGCAGGUGAUACAACAGGCCGAAAGGUAAAAUCACCAGCAACUGGGCGUGGAGGUCUCAAAGCGGCAAUUGGUGCCUGACCGGAGCUUGUGCUUGCAGGACCUGAUGCAGGUGGGCACGAAGGAGGCACCAUGCCAGGAGUUGGUCCAACUCGAGAGAAAGCUGGAGGUGGGCCUAUGGAAAGUGGGUAGCCCGACUGUGUUGAUGACCCACCACCACCAGGAAAUGCUACCGGGGAAGGACAUUGAGGCGCAACUGUAGAAAAAGACUGAACUCCACCAGGAGGCCUGGAAACUAAUGUUGCUGAACAAGUGAAAUUUGCUAACGCUGGCUGCUGGCUGUGGUACAUGGUGGGCAUAUUUGAUGGAGGUGUCAAUGCAGCAGGACCGUGCGGUGGAGUUGCGCCAAGAGGGGACACGGAAAUAGGUCUCACUGGCACAAAAUUCGGUGAAGCUUGAGGAGGCCACUGAGAUUGUGGCGUGAUGGGAGAAAAAGAUGGCCAUCCACCAGAUGCGUGGGGUAUUUGAAGGGGUCUAACUGGCGGUGGCACUGAGGAAGAUGGUGUCAUUUGUGGGCUUACAAUUCCAGGUGGUUGACCAAAAGGCCCAAUUGAGGAGUUAGCUCGGAACUGAGGUGGAUGUUGUUGAUUGCUUGGCAUUGAUUGCUGAGGUCCAGGAACAGGAAAUGGAUUUCUUGGCGUGCUGUUCAUGUGAGGAGGAUGACCUGUGAAGGGAGGCAUACUGAAAGAACCAGCAAACGGUUGUGGUUGCAAUGAAUUGUUAGGUAAUGUACUCAAAACAGGCCCUGAGGAAGUAAUUGAUGGAGCAUCAGUCUGAGGAGUGGACAGCCAAGGAGCAUUUUGUGAUUGGUAAUGAAGUAGACCUGGGGGUGAAAUGGUAUUCUGCACGGGAUUUACAUCGGAGGUAACUGCUGAAGAAACAGUAGUAGUUGUUGGAGUAGAUGUUGACUUCACCUAAGGUCCAAAUGAUUCCAUGGUCAGUUGACAACAAAUAAGAGGAUUUAGAGAGGGGGGAAGACAAGCUGGACUUACCGACACAGGAGCAAGAAGCAGCUCAAUCAACGCAACUGCAGUAUCUACUUUAUCAUAAGAGUCAGCCGAGACAUUGAUGUAUAGGUCUUCAUAAGCAGCUCGAGCAUCACUUAUGUCUUGAUGAUGAAUCUCGCUCUGAGCAUGAAUGAAAAAGUUUUUCAUUUGUCUAUUGUGUUGAAAUUGCUUUAAAAAUUGUUUACUACAAGGAGAACACACGUGAAAAUUAUGUGAUAUUGAGAGCUUGAGGAUCAAGAUCAAAGGUGAAACUUAAGUAAUGCUAAAAGAAGGGAGUGCAAAAUCGAAAGGAUGAUUAGUAUCGCUGUAUAAAUGAUCUAUCAAUUUAAUUUACAGAAUCAGGAAAACAAAUAUACCUUCUCUCCAUUGAUUUUCUUAGUCCCAUAUACUUGUAUUACAGCUCCAGUUUCCUGCCACGUGCAAAUGAAGUCAACAGAGUUUAACAUACACACUACUCUCAGGGAUGUUUCAACAAAAUAAAACUACAGGAUGUCCAAGAAUAGAUCAUACUUCAUGUAGCCGCUUCAGAGUAUUGCUCUCAGGUCCUAUAAGAACUCCAAUAAUAUUAUGUCCAGGAUGCGCUUCUGCCUGCAAUGGCCAACAGCAUUCCGUAAAUGCACCAUAUCUAUAAAAAGAUCUAGAGGCUAAAUGUUAGUAUCAAGUCCAUCCAAAAACUAAGUAUAGCAUAUCAUAGACAAAACAGAUCAAUUGAGAUCCCUCCCCUCUAGUAGAUUACACUACUCUAGGGGAUAGACCUAGUUGUGAUACAUAAUUCUAGUAUAUUACAAAGGAAAUUUAAGAUAAACUCUUAAUGGUGUAAGCCAAUCGUCCAUGUACAAGAAACUCUUGGGGUAUCAAAAAUUAUAGUUGCAAGAGAACAAAAGGAUCAAUACCAUCUUGCAUAAAUGAAAAACAACCAAUGGCUAAAGGUCAAAACAUGCAAUAAGCACAAGAAGUAGUGUGAUAACAUACCGGAAGAGGGAUCUUUGUCUCCUUAAGUACUGGUUUGUAGUUCUCAGGCACCUUAUAUCCCGGAUUCAGACGGAGUAUUUCACCUGCAGAUAAUAUGCGCCACAGUUAAUACUACAUAAUUUCUUGGAGAUGAAUAAAGACAUUUAACAAGGCCAGUAUAUCACCACCAUGUCCAGAACCUAACACGGGGCAACUGGGCAACCACAUGUAUCACUGAGUGAGAUACUACUAAAUAGAGCAAUGCCCCAUGGCCCCAUCAGUACCAAGACACAAUGACACAGGCACAUAUUUAUGUUUACUUAGUAAUUAAAUGAAGUGCAUGAUUACAGGAGAAAAGGAGAACUUCUCUGACCAGUAAUUUCUCGUCUUUCAAGUUCCAAUAGCUCAACCUUUCCCUGCUGCAAAAAGGGUAAAAGAUGCUUACCAAAUGAGAGCAUAUAAUUGUUUAUCUUGACACACUAUUAGGCUGCAAUAAGCGUAGCAUCUGAAUUAGGAAUACCUCAUUCUCUUUCAAAUUGUCAGAACCAACAGAAUUUGUCCCCUUUCCAGUGGAUACUGAACCUUCAAUUUUACCCAUAUCCAAGGUUCCGGAUUUCAGCUGCUUGGUGAUUUGCUCCACUCGAGUCUGCUCAUGCAGUAAUAUGAAUUAAUGACACCUGGCAAUGGAAGCAUUCUACAUGAGAGAAUCGCAAGAAAAAUGCCCGGUUCUGUCCAGUCAGAAGGGGGGCACAGGGCUUAUCCCUUCAAUUUAUUAUUUGCCUAGCCUCCAAAGUAAUGUUCACCCAAUAGUGUGUGUUUCAGCAUUUCCAUUCUAGUCAAAGGAACUGGUGUAUGAAGUACUAGAUUUCUAAAGUGUUUAGAGAAAACAUAUGCAACCUUGUUUAAUUUGAAAUGUAGAUUGAUCACAGAUGCUAGGCGAUGAAGAGAAACAGAUAUUUUAAGAAAAUACAAGCUCAAGUUGACAUUCUAGUGACUGGAAGUGAUACAGAAUCAUCUACAACCGUCUCAGGCAAUCUCUGAGGAAUGAUAUUUUUUACUGAAAAACGAUAAAACAUACCGUUGAAGCGAAGACCUUUCAUCGAUCAAAAUGCAAAAGAUAGAUGUCAAGAGAUGGAGCAGACUAGAAGUGUAAAUUUAUAGAGGUCAAAAGAGGAGACAGUACCUGGUAGGCCAAAGCCCUUCCUUUGCACACAGCAGGGUCGGUGGUGAGGUCAGGCCCCCACUUUGUCUUUCUCUGAGCAUGCCUGCUGUUAUCUUCCUUGGAUGCAGUAGGUGUUUCAUUCUUGGUAGUGGCACCACGAGUUACAAGUGAGCCGGCUAGCUUGUUCUUUGGUAUGACGAAUCCAGCUUUUGUCCCGAAUAUUGAAAUCUUGGGAGUCAAAGAUAGAGGUGCGGUGGAUUUUGCUCGCUGAUGCUUGGCAGGAGAAGAUUGAUCUAGUUUUGUGGCCAUCUACAAGCAAUAGAAAGAUGCAUUCAACGUCGGAAGCAGGGGAAGGAGAGUACGCAUGCGGAGCUGGUGAAUUGCGAUGCCUAGGUUCAACUACUAAGCACCUAAAUCAUGUUCACAUACUGAAACAUAAUAAAGUAUAAAAUGUACAACUUCGAUAAUAGUUAAUUGUGCAACAAACUUGAUGUUUUGGAUCCAUUUUCUCAACUUGUAUGUGAAUAAAAAUAUGCAAAUGUCCUCUAUCUUCUUCGUUGUGUAAUUCUAGUACAAGAUACGGAGAUUUCAAUUUGCCGCAAAUGGUUCAAAGUUUUGAACUAAAAUUGAAAGGGGAUGGGAACUUAGGAGGCUAAGAGAUGAACAACCUGUGUGCCUGUGGCCUAAUUGCCUGCCUGUCUGCGCCUGGCGGCCUGGGCGCCUAGUGGUGAUGGCGAGUUCCACGGGCCAUGGUGCGCCUGUGCCGCACACUAGCAGGCAGCUAGUCCAGACUAAACGAAUCGAUGCAGGGCGGAUUUGGGAAUCGGGAGCUAGGGUUUGGGUGCCCGGAGGGAAGGGGGUGGCUGGGGGCGAGGGCGAGCGACGCUACGAGCCUGAGACGGCGCACGUACCUUCUGCAACCUUCGACGGGCAGGCGGCUACUCAAGCUCGGGCGCAGAGGCAACGGACUCCAAGGGCGGCGCCGACGAACUCCAAGGGCGGCGAUGGCGAACUCCAAGGACGGCGAGAUUGAACUCAAAUGGUGCAGGGGAAUCCGGUGGGGAAGACGUGGCUCGCAGCCGGCGGCGCAAACCCUAGAAUCACCAGGCGGGCGGCGCACCGUGCGAGCAGGGCAGCAGCCGGAGUGGCGGACGAGGUACUUGGCGGAUGGCAUUUGGUGGGUAAUUUUGAUCAAAGUUGAAGGGUAGUUUCGUAAUGAGUACCCUUUUAAAAAAAAACCUUUUAAUUAAGGCCCUGUUUGGGAAGGGCGUGUUAAAAUUUAACAGGGUGUUAAACUUUAACACCCUCAAAUAAAGGUGUUAAACUUUAGUAUCUUGAGGUGUUUGGAUGAUCUGUUAAAAUUUAACACCUUAGGUUGUAAUUGACAACUUUACCCCUCAUUACUCCUCUCAAUGGCAGCCAAAUACCCCUUCUUCCUUCUUCUCCUUCCUCCUCCUUCCUUCUUCCUCCUUUCCUGUGCCUGGCGCCUCCGGCCCCACCCCUGCUCGGUCCACGCCGUGCCCGGCGCCAGCGUCGGCGUCGGUGCUGCCGGCCGCCCCGUCGGCCCUUCCCCUGCGCCUGCCGCCUCCGGCCCCGCCCCGCCGCCGGCGUCCCCUACCGCGGCGCUAGCGGCCGCGCCCGCCCGAGCCCCCAACGCCACCACCGCGCCCGCCCGAGCCCCCACCGCCACCACCUGCGCCGCCCGCCGGUCCCCACACCACCGGAUCGGACUCGCCCGCGCCGGCGACGAUGAACCGCCAGCCACGCGAGGCCGCCCGCGCUGGCCGCCGCCCGCAGCCCGCGCGAGGCCGCCCGCGCUGGCCGCCGCCCGCUACCCACGCGAGGCCGCCAGCGCGACCCCGCCGCGUGCUGCCCAGCGCGGAAUCCCGGCGCAUGAGCGGAGCGGACCGGCGGUGGCGCGCGAUGGGCGGACCAGCGGCGGCGCGACGGGCGGACUGGCGGCGGUGCGCGACGUGCGGAUCGGGGAAGGAAGAUGGGGGCAGUGGAGGAGAGAGAAGAGGAGAGAGAGGGGGGCAACCAGGGAAUAAGUGGGGAGGGGGACCACUUUUAACACUUUUAGCACAUUUUAACACCCCCUCCAUGUGUUUAUGAAAAGAGGGGUGUUAAAUUUUAACACUUCAUCUUUAACACUUGUGUUUGGCAACCAAAAGUGUUAAAAUCUGUUAAAAAGGGGGUGUUAAACUUUAACACCCCCUUCCCAAACAGGCCCUAAAAAUUUGAAAAUAACGAUUUGCAAAAACAAACUCUUUCGGUAUGAGAUUUGCCACGGUUUACGGUAGCACACAUACUAAUAUGGAGUAUAGUUAUGCCACAUGCAAUGGCGUGACUACAGUCACACCACGCCGGUUGGUUCGACCGAGCCUUGAUGGAUGACGCAGUAAAAAGGUGGUACGGGUGUCGAGGCUUGGUCACUGCAAACCAUGUAGCAAUUUGGUCACACAAACCAUGUGAUGUGCUAUUACUCACGCCAAAAAGCUUGUCGUGACCAAAAGUACUAGUUUUUUGAAAUAUAGAUUGGCAUCGGUUAUUUUUAAAAUAUUAAUUUUCAAAAGAGGGUAAAAAAAAUCUCAAACAAGACCAGGGAGGUAGUUUGCUGCUGGGUCCGGUGGCCUGUUACCAGAUUUUUUUUAAUAAUCAACAGUGUGGAGACCGACUAGGAGGAGGGUCGAUGGCUAUUCCCAAUCACACCCGCGACUCAGAGCCGACACAUUGCAGAAAAGAUCGUGAACCCUUGCCUCCACCACCGCCACCAACUACGACACCACUCCGUGCCUCCGCCACCGCCUUGGUGCUAAUCCGAGCCAUCGUUUCCAACUUUAGCCGACCUCCCCGUAUCCACCACCUCCUCAGCUCUAGCGUCGUCCGACGCCUCCACCACCACCAUCAUCGCCAUCGUUGCCGCCUAGCCGUCGUGCCUCACCUCUCCCGUUCUAGAGCUCCCCCGCCACCAUACCUCGCCGUCAUCUUGACCGGGCCUACCGUUGAUUCGGCAACCUCCCACCACCUCCUCUAUAGCCCGACAGCCCCGGAACCCUAACCCCGACAGCUUGGGUAGCACGAAGAGCGGCGGUGGUGGUGGGCUGUUGCUUGGCCGUCUACGAUUAUUCCCAAGUGGGUCAGUUACCAGACCAUAUAAAUUAGAAGGGAGCUAUUUCAAACUUGAGUCCAUGCAACCCUAAAUGUCCUAUUCCAAAAUGGCCCUUGUGCCACCAAACCUAGAAGACUUUCUUUGUUUCCUUUUUAGUUUCACUUUUAGAUUCUUGCAGCAUCUUAUGUCCACCAUCCAAUCUAGCCUGCACGCACCAUCUCCGCCUGCCACCACCAUCGUUGGAGAACAAGAAAAUAAUUUUUUUUAAAUUAUUAAUAUAGUUUUUAAUAAAUUUUGAAUACAUUCUCUUAAAAUGUUAAAAUAGGUUAUGAAAAAUGUCAAGUUUUGUAUUUUUUUAGAUACUUAUGUGUUUCUGAUAAAUGUUGAAUUUGCUAUUUUUUUAAUGUUGAUCUAUUUUUAAAAAAAUAUUAAGUCUAGUCUUUUGAAAUGUUGAAUUUAGACUUCUAAUAUGAGUCUUAUAGGCUUCAAAGUCAUAAUACUAAUCGGCUUCCAUAAGGAUCUGAUUAGAUGGAUCUGAUUAGUUCGUUGCUAAGCUGAGCUAGGCUCGUACUUGAGAGCGAGGCCCCCGGUGGCAGAAGGCGCUUUGCUGAUUGGUUGCCUGCCAUAUCUAGCCCGACUGCGCCGAGUCCUUGUGUUGGUCGGCUGAAUGAAGCCUCCACUUCACACACGCCAAGCCUCUUUUAGCUCACUUUGGAUGUGCAAGUUGCAUCGCUGGAGCCUGGCCCGUGAGGAAACGCGCAUUUUUGCUGCAUCUCAGGAGGCAGCCUCGGCAACAGCUUUUGUACUCGUCGGGCCAGGCCCAACGCUUGGUUUGUGCAACAAAUCAAAGCACACUUCAUCUUCGAAGCCUGGCCAAGACUGAAUACAGACCCUAAGUUGUAUAGAAGCUAUACUGACUGAAUUUUUUUUUUCUAGACGGCUGAUAAUUCUGGGUGGCUUGAAAAAACAGAACGGAAGUGCUUAUGUUUGUGAAUCUUGAUGUCAAUUUGUGAAUAUUGCUUAAAAAAUCUUUUAAAAGAGGAAUAGUAUUUUUUUUUUGCUGAUAUCAAACAUUUAGGGCCUGUUUGGAUCCAAGGACUAAAUUUUAGUCCCGCACUUUUAGCUCAAAAUUUAGCUCUUGGGAUCCAAACAGGAGGGCAAAAAGUGACAAAUAGCUAAACUUUGGGCUAAAAAAAUUAGCUCCUCAAGAGGCCCAAAAGGGGCUAAAAGGGACUAAAAGUGAUCCCCCGGACCACUUUCCUCCCCUUGCCCCGUACUCUCUCUCUCCCGCACGCUCUGCCCGGCCCCGCCUCCUUCGUCCGCCGCCGCCGCUAUCUCCACCUCGCCUCACCGGCCUCGCCACAUCCGCCUCGCCUCGCCGGCCCCGCCGUCUCCGCUCGACCCCGCGGCGCCGUCACCUCCUCCUCCUCCGCCGCCUCACCCCCGCUGCCUCCGCCUCGCCCCUGCCGCCGCCGGCCGCCUCCUCCUCCUCCUCCGCCUCGCCCCCGCCACCACCUCCACCUUCGCCUCGACCCCGCCGCCGCCAGCCUCGAUGCCCUCGGCCGCUGGAUCUGGGGGCCGUGGCCGCCGGCGGGGAGGAGAGGGCCGCGACCGCCGGCAGGAGGGAGGAUGACGAGGAAGGCGUCGAGGUCGAGACGGGAGCGGACGGUGGCGGCCUCGAGGUCAUAGAGCGGGAGGAGGAGGCGGACGACCUCCUCGCUCCCGGUCUCCGCGGCGACGUAGAGCGCGGUCUUCCCGGCGUCCGUCUGCGUAGCGGCGAGCGCGGCCACGGAGGUGCCCGAGGCCUCGGUGUCGGCCAGGAGCGUGCGGACAACGACCGCAUCGCCGGAUCUGGGGCCCACGGCUGCCGGCGGGGAAGACGGCGGCAAGGACCCAGGGGCGAAGUGGAGAGGAGAGAGAGAGGGAAAGGAGGAGGAGGGAGUAAUGGUAAAUCAGUCAUUGUUUGAUGAGGGACUAAAAUUUAGCUCAUGGAUCCAAACACCCCAUCAGAACUAAAUUUUAGGGGCUAAAUUUUAGAGACUAAGGACCUGUUUGGAUCCAUGAGCUAAAUUUGGAGCCCACAGGUAGCGCUGCAAUUGCCGUCAUGAAACGAGUUGAUGUAGCUGCUAUAUUGCUCCGCCACAAUUUUGCAAGAUAUUUUCUUCAUGCUAUUAGUUUUUCUCCUGAACAAGCUAAUUAUGUUGGACAAGUAGGUUCUUAGACUCGCUAUUGCUAAGCAGAAUGUAUCUGUUACAAAUCAUUUGGAUUUCUCUCCACUUCAAAAGUGCCAUGUUCUCAGUAUCAUGUGUUUGCAAUUAUGUUAAUUGUAUAUCAAUACCUAGAUGCUCACACUUAGUUUAGGACGAGUUAAAAAUCAUUCAUGGAAUAUUAGAAUUGCAUCUUCAGGGCUUAGUUUUCGUGCUCUGUGUGACUAUACUCGGCACCAAUAAAUUUGGACAAUACUAUGAUGAAUUGCUUACAUUGGUAGAUUCUUAACUGGUCUGAUUUUUCUGUAUGUGCAUAACUGAAGAAGCUCUUCAUACCCUGUAAUAGAUUCUGCUGUCUCUGCUGCUUGUUUUAUAGUUUACAGUUAGAGCCUGCUCCGUUUUAUAUGAUAAUAGAGUAAAAGAAGAAAGAGACUGAGGUUUUUUUUCUUUUGUCACAUUCAAGACUCCUAAUGUCCCUAUGUAAUGUCCUUCAGGAAGAAGAUGAUACUGAGAUGGAUGUUGAUGCUGCAGCUCCGGCAACACAGAUUUCAAUCAAGCAUGGUCUCCCUGAAAUUGAAAUAUAUUGCUACUUGCUUGUCCUGAUUUUCCUUAUUGAUCAAAAGAAAUAUAUUGUUGUCUAAACUGUUGUAUGUACCCUUAGUGUUGAUCAUACACUAGCUUUUUAUCUGGUGGACACACACAGGCAAAAAAAAAAAAAAAAACUCAGUACCGAUGCAGUCACACAUCACACCUUCGUAGUUUUGAUUUGCCCAUUAUUCUACUCAACUACAAGCUAAAAUCUAGUUAGCAAUAAUAGCAAUGAACCUAACCCAAGUACCCAACCUUACACACAGGAUUAUGAACCCCUUUGACCUUUGUGUAUGGUUUGGUUUAUUUAACCCCCUCUUUUCUUAAACUUGGUUAGUUUUCACCUGUUGAUUCUUACCUUUCUCGGUUUUGCCAACAUAUGGAUUAACGAUUAACCCUGGUUGUUUUGGGGAAAAGAAAGGCAAAGACGAUGACGUUUCCAUAUCACCAUUUGCUAGCAGCACGGAAACAUCAGAUAUCAAACAAUGGCAUAUUGACGGUGCAUCAUCCCCAGAUAAAAUUGAGGCAAACAAACCACAGCAAAAGCCCAACCAACCAAAUGCAAUUCUUGCUGCUCUUCUUGUGUUGUGCCUGUACAAAAGGGAACACUACACCUGCAGAGUCGCACUGCACUGUCUGCAUCAUCUGCGAUAUCUUCUUAUCGACCCCCCCCCCCCCCCCANNNNNNNNNNNNNNNNNNNNNNNNNNNNNNNNNNNNNNNNNNNNNNNNNNNNNNNNNNNNNNNNNNNNNNNNNNNNNNNNNNNNNNNNNNNNNNNNNNNNNNNNNNNNNNNNNNNNNNNNNNNNNNNNNNNNNNNNNNNNNNNNNNNNNNNNNNNNNNNNNNNNNNNNNNNNNNNNNNNNNNNNNNNNNNNNNNNNNNNNNNNNNNNNNNNNNNNNNNNNNNNNNNNNNNNNNNNNNNNNNNNNNNNNNNNNNNNNNNNNNNNNNNNNNNNNNNNNNNNNNNNNNNNNNNNNNNNNNNNNNNNNNNNNNNNNNNNNNNNNNNNNNNNNNNNNNNNNNNNNNNNNNNNNNNNNNNNNNNNNNNNNNNNNNNNNNNNNNNNNNNNNNNNNNNNNNNNNNNNNNNNNNNNNNNNNNNNNNNNNNNNNNNNNNNNNNNNNNNNNNNNNNNNNNNNNNNNNNNNNNNNNNNNNNNNNNNNNNNNNNNNNNNNNNNNNNNNNNNNNNNNNNNNNNNNNNNNNNNNNNNNNNNNNNNNNNNNNNNNNNNNNNNNNNNNNNNNNNNNNNNNNNNNNNNNNNNNNNNNNNNNNNNNNNNNNNNNNNNNNNNNNNNNNNNNNNNNNNNNNNNNNNNNNNNNNNNNNNNNNNNNNNNNNNNNNNNNNNNNNNNNNNNNNNNNNNNNNNNNNNNNNNNNNNNNNNNNNNNNNNNNNNNNNNNNNNNNNNNNNNNNNNNNNNNNNNNNNNNNNNNNNNNNNNNNNNNNNNNNNNNNNNNNNNNNNNNNNNNNNNNNNNNNNNNNNNNNNNNNNNNNNNNNNNNNNNNNNNNNNNNNNNNNNNNNNNNNNNNNNNNNNNNNNNNNNNNNNNNNNNNNNNNNNNNNNNNNNNNNNNNNNNNNNNNNNNNNNNNNNNNNNNNNNNNNNCUCACCAACUCGGUUUGCAUCGGUAAUCUGGUAUCAGGUUAGAUGGUAUGUAAUCUGCCUUCUAUAUGGUGGGUGAUUAGAAUCACCCACAUGCUCUCUCUCUCUCUCUCUCUCCCUCCCCUCUUGGAUCAACUAUAUUAUAGCAGGCCUCUAGUUAGUCACUACUUUCUUUCUUUUUUUUUUCUUUUGAUUGCUGCACUACAGUCAACAGGAAGCGGAACACGCCGUUUCUUCGGAGCAUAGCCGCCUAGCCUAGCUGCACCGGGACAGGAAGAACUCGUAAUCUGGAUGGUGGUUCACGGACUCCCCACUUCCCUUCGGGACAACAGCUCUUGCCAUGGCCAGUGCACCCAUCUUCAGUGUCCUCAGCCUCUCUUUCUGAACUUCAGCACAACUGGCCUCGUCAGUUGGCAAUUGCUUCAGAUCUGGGCAUCUCAGCUGAAACCACUGUUCUCCCUAUAAACAAGAGGAUGCAAAGCAAUCUAAGUUAGGCAUAAAAUCAUCCUCUUAAUACAAGCUCAUGAUCCACAAAAUAGAUACAAGCUUGAGUCUGAUGGGCGAACAUUGCAUCACUGGAAAUAAAUUUCUGCCAAGUAACUAUUAAUUCGGUUUCAUCAUUAUUUCCAGGAUUUUCAGUAGAACUCAUAGCAAUAUGGAUGGUAUGCUCAGUGAUGCAAAACACUUCCUACACUUGUCAAGGAAAACACCAAGUCGAAAUGGUACCUUGGCAUUGUAACUCUGGAGACCGACAACUGGUGAAACUACACGCGGAUGCCCACCAGUCAUAUCCAUGGAGCAUUUUUGAGGAACCAAUUUGCCCAGUGAAUGGUAAGUAAGAAAUGCUGCACGGAAGUUCCCACGAGGUACACGAUAAACAGGAUACCAUGCCACACAGAACCUAGAAAUGAAACAUACUGAUCAUCACAAGAGCCAAAUAUAACAAAUCAAAUAUUUAUAUUUACUACUGAUAAAAUUGCAAGCUGAGUUGGGGAACAAAACACAUCCAGGAUUAGGAACAAACCAGGAAGCUGGAUGAAGCUCACACAAUUUUGUGUUUUGCAGCUUUUCAGGGUCCCCAAAAAUUCGGUGGUCAGAAACGUUUGCACCGCUAACAAGCUCCUUAAUCCUACAUUAUAUUGCAGCCAUAUAUUAACGCAGAAAAAGGAGACAAACAAUCUGGACAGACAAAUAGAGAUUACAAUGUCCGUUGAAGUCUUACUGUGGCAAAAAGGACAUAGUGACCAUAUCAGAAAGACUGCAUCAAAAUGGAAACAGUACAUCUCAUGCCACAUACUUAAGAAUGAUUGGUUAGCAGCUUAUAAAUCGCAGCUCUAAGCUACUCAUUUGGACACAAACUAAGUUCUCUUGCUUUAGGCCAUAACUCCUAAACAUCCGGAUCAGCUAAACCAAUUGCGACAGCAGAAAAAGAAUAACUCAUGGUCAAUUGGUCGUGAAGUGCCACUGUUCACAAACUCACUAAUGGUUUAUAGAAUACUGUUCAUAACGAAGCUAUUAAACUUCCUUGCCUGUAUUACACUGUUUAUAACUAGAAUUGUUAAAUUCAUUUCCCCUUUCUAACAAAGAAAUAGAUUGGGAUCCUUUCCCAGUUGUGAACCCAUAAGCAAUUUUUAGAUGGAAAUGACACCAGAUUGAAGAGACGUGAACUAUUUACAAGAAACUGCAAAUGUCUGGAACUUAAGGAAAAGAAGGCUUACUUUUCAAAUAACGGGGGCCGAAAAGAAGGCUGCUCUGUUUCAAAGUACUCAAACAUGAGUUCUCCAUGACCUUCUACAACUAAAGAUGACUCUGAUGAGUAUGCGUUACUUUCCUCAAACGGUUUAUGCACCUUUGCAUGCACAGGAUGAGAGCUCAAAGAGCUUGCAGUAUUUGAUGCUUUCAGUAACUCUCUCCCUUGUACACCGAAACUGUGAUCCAUGUUAUUCCUAGACCACCCAAACAACUGAAUAGCAGAUAGAUAAGGUACAAAGUAUGCAAAGAACUCUGAACUGCUGCUGCAGGAUGUUUUAGAGCUGAGAUCAUUAAGAGCUUUUACUUCCAAUCCAUAGCACCCUGGCUCUUCAUACCACUCCCAUAUGGUCCUUAAGGAAACAUUAGAAAUGUCAUGCUGACAAACUGAGCUGCUAACUGCUUCGUCCCAUGAACAAUUGCUGCCUCUCAAGCAAGGUGCAUGACCAAUAACUGGAGUUGCAGAAUAUAUAAAUGUUUCAAGAUCAGUAAUUGGAUAACCAGCAGCAAGGUGAACAUCUGCAGCAACCUGAACUUUGUAGGCAUCAUUUACAACCCUGAGCAUUUCAACUAGAUGUGUUCUAGAGUUACAGAACUGUUGACAGCCAUGGUUCCCUUGAACAGAUGGAACUGUACCACAUCCAACCAAUAACUCAGUUGUCGUGGACUUAGACCCUGCAAUAUUUUGAGUACAACAUCAAGUUAGGUGUUACAAAGCCUGCUGCAAUCAGUCUUUGUAUCUUAUCAACAUUAAGAAAAAAAGGAAGUGGCGCAGGAUGCAAAGGUGAAGCAAUAUUUUCGAGAAAGAAUGUAAAGAUGGAGCAAUACCAGGUGAUGAUUGUCCAGAAAUAGUUUCAUUGGCAUCAUUAAUUUGAACUGAAUCGUGCAGUCUUCUUUUCUGCACGGAAAGAGCUACAGAAAUAUCUGUUGAUUCACCUGAUGACUUCGGAGUUGUCGUUUCAGAAGAGGAAACCGAUCCCGUCUCACAAUGGAUUGAUUCUCUGCUGUGAAGAGCAACGGAUAGUUUUCCGUGCAAAUAAAGCCGCUGUGCUUUGUCAAAAUCGCUAGUUGAUUGUUCAUAAGUUUUUUCUCUUGGACCUAUAAAAUAAUUGGGACUUGCUUGUAACUUGGAAUCUUCUGCUGGAAGUCCAUUGUGGGUCUCCAUGCGAACACUACUUGGCCUUUGCAUGAAAUUCUUGGAGGGGUGUUUUAUUGCAGUUCCAUGCUGAGGCUGUAUCCCACCAAUAUGAUUUUGUCUAUGGGACCGAUGAUCGGUGCGGACCUCUUUGGUCACUGGCACAGAAGCCCGGCCAACAUAUUUUUCAUUCCGAUCAUGUGUAAAUGUGGACACCCGCUCUCCAUAACUCUUCCACAGUAACAUUUUCUUCUCUUUUCUUGCCCUCUUUCUAGAUAUUACAAGACAGAAAUCAUUGUCCCUGCUUGUGUCGCUGCACAAAUGGACUGCCUGGACUCCACUGCAAGCACCAAUGCCAUUUUGGGAACAAAUACCACUAUCAUAAUCAGGUUUCUCUAGCCAGUUCUCAUCAAAUCCACUACUAGAGCUGCAAAAUUCUGUCGCUUCACACGGACCAGGUUCACGUUCAUUGCUUAAGAUUAACAGAGUCUUGGUAUCAUGGUUACAGUUCACACUACUGCCAGCAUAACAUGUUUCCUGAGCUGAACCUGUAAACACGGAAUUUUGAGCACUGUCCAAAUACCUUAAGUUACUGCUAUUACAUUGUCCACGCAGUCCUGGACACGAAAUUGCCGAUCUAGACGGUUCUGUCUCAUCACAGUAGGACGCACUGGAAACUGAACCAACUGAGCAGCAACGGUACUCAUUAUCAUUGUCACUCUCAGGAGCCUCUUCAGAAGCUUCCUUAACAGAUGAACUGGGAGAAAAAGUUUCCUCAAAGUGUAUGUCACCAACGUGCUUAGGUGACAGUGUCAAAUCUUCACAAUCACCUUCAUCGACUGCAGGGGCAGCACUGUUAGUCUCUCCGCAUUUAGCUUCAGGCCCAUCCGUUGGUUUCCUACAACGUUGCCUGUGCUUCUUGCUUUUCUUUUUGCUCUUCCUUCUUGAAGUAUGUCUUGCAUUACCACUUGGCUUGGUAAAGCUGUUGACUAAGAAAUCAGAAUUGGACGUGCUAUUGGAAGUGGUGGAUCUAUCUUCCAGUAGCCUUGAUGAAUUACCUGGCCAUCUUCUGUGAGAUCCAUCUGGAGGAUAUGGCAGGAAAAGAAUUGAUGGCGAGGUUGGUGAUAAGGAUGAUGUAUCUUCUGGAGAUAUAGGUUGAGAUGAGGGAUGAUUGUUCCCAUUCUCGGUGAGCGAUGGUGAUUUGAAGUCGAAACAACAUAAAUUUAUGGGAAUAAAUGUCACGACAAUACACCUGGCAAAGAAGCGAAUAUCAUAGUUAUUAAAUAGCAAAGGACGGAUCCGGAGAAUUGGCGGAUGUGAAACAUGAGAAAGCAAUUCGGUUAAGGGCACAGCAUGACAUAUACAACUUGCAUGUGGAAGAUAAAAUUCUUUGUUGCAAAAAUAUGUUUCUAUAAUUAGGCUUGUAAAUCAUAAAUGAAGGGAGAAAGAAAGAUAGAAAAAUGAGGUGGACUCAGAAAGGAGAAAAUCAGAAGGAAGAAAAAAAAGAUGCAUCAGUUGGUACUAUGGCAUAUUGGACGUGCAUAGACAGACAGGUGGAGUUAGAGAAGAACAUCUGUGCACCUCUGUUGUUGCUGUCUUGAUUCAAGGCGUGCUACUUGACGCUCCUGGAAAAUGGUAGGAAGGGGAAGCAUUACACUUACACAUAGUAGUAUCUCAGGGAACUGGGGAAGAGAAGAGAGAAAAAGCAGCUGACGUACAAACUGAAGGUUGAGUGGGUUCUUCCUCUCGGAUGGUCUCCCAAAGAGGCGACGAGGCCUCCUAUUUGCAACAGCAUCAGCGGUUCCAGUAGGCAUUCCAUGUUCAGGUGGCAUGUCGCAUGAAUCCUGCAAGAGUGGUUGGGCAAAAGGGCACAUGAGCACAGAGGCAUACACGGAGAGAACAAUACUCAAAUAGAUAGAGAAGUCAAAAGUGUGGUGUGCCGGGGUCAUGUAUGUAUGUAUGCAAGAAUGAAUUUUUAUCCAGACAGAGGUAGACUAGUACGGAGGUUGAGGUGGGAGUGACAGUAGCACGUUGACCAAAUAGCAGAAGAAGCUGCUGGAAGGCCCAUCCCAUCCCAUAGGCAUAGAAAGUUUGACUGGAAGCAGCAAGUUGCAGGUACUAGUAGGUAUGAUUAGGGGAAAAAAAAGUUAAACCCUAAGUAAUGAAGAAUUGAAUAGGGUAUAUUGGAAUGAAGAAUGGUACUGGUAGGAUGAGUAAGGAAAGCAAGCUGAAUGCGAAGAACCCUCCCUUGGGAUUGAGGCGGCAGAAGUAGCAGAUGGUGCAAGUAGCGUAGCAAGCGAGCAUUGCAUGUGGAUCGUGGCUGGACGAGAUGAAAUCGACAACCAAAUGGAGAUGGAUCCAUCGAUCGAUCGGUAGAAUACGGGACGGAUCGCAGAUUGUGACUGCGAAUAGUAUUGAGAAAGAAGCACAAAGCCAGGGAAACCUAAUCCCGUACAAUCCAAUCUAGGGAUUUCUUUGGAAUUGUUUUGGCAUUGGUCUGUUCCUCUCCUGAUGAAUGAAGAAUAAAAAGUAGGAGCAGCAAUAAUAAUCUUAUCCAGUCGUCCGCGGGACGAGGCGAGAGGAGACGGAACUCAGCAGAAUCGGAGCGAGAGCGGCGGCGGCGGCGGCAGCGGCAGCAGCAGCGAAUUGAAAAUCGUACGAGGAGGAGGAGAAAGUCGGGAAGAGGCAUACGCACCCAGAACCAGAAGGCGAAGGAAGGAUCUCCGGUGCGCGAUCUCGAUAUCCCGCGGAACCCAAGGAGGAGGAGAGGAUCCUCCCUCCUAUCUCAUCUUCCGUCUGAUCCCACUCCUCCCUCACGCACACGGCACACACACUCUUGUCUCUCUCUGCCUCCUCGCCUCCCAGGCGCGCCGGCGGUGGUAGGUAGCAAAGAUGGAGAGAGAGAGGAGAAAAAAACAAUUUGAUUUCAAUCAAAUUAUUGAAAAUCUCUUCACCGGAUGGAGAAAUAAAAAAGAAAAGAAAAGUGGGUGACGCGAGCUGAGGUCAGGUGGCUGCUGUCCUUCUCUUCUUUGAGUACUUACUACUAUUAAUUUCAUUUCAUUUGUUUAAAUAAUAAUAGUAAUAAUAAUCUCUUUCUUUAUGCAAAACGGGCCCGCAGCCCAGCCCAGAAAGAGAUUAGAGAUCCCGGGAGGGAGCAGCAGGAUCAGAGAAGAGAAUAUUACGCUGACCAGAACCAGACACAGACAGGACCGGUAGAUGAGGAUGAGAUGAUACACGCUACACUAGCCAAGCUAACCUCCCUUGUUUGUUUUCAGCAACACUCCUACCUUUCCCAAGAAAAGAAAAGCAAAGAAAUCGCGUAUCACCAACCACAUUCCAUUUUCUUGAAGCAUUCCAUGGAGGAGGUACUUGGAGAGCAUGGUUCAGGUUCCCUUCAUUUUUAUUAGGCGCUGAUAUGAUUUGAGAAAGUCUUUUACCAAUCUCUUGCAACAUAUUAUCAAUUUCUUCCCGGCCAAUGUCAGGCCGAUUUAUGUAACUUUACAACUCUGACUAGUUGUUAGUCCAAAUUCCUAAUGCACCAACUACUGAAAAACCAUAGGCUAUCCUAACCUCACCCAGGAGUCCUUAUCAACAAAGCUCAGAUUGAUCUCCAACCAACCUACCACAGAACCUCCAAUCCAUUUCAGUACAGCAUGCAUGUUGACAAGUGCCUUUCUCGUGCGUGCACAUAGCAGUAAAAACAAACCAUCCAAGCAAAAGCCAAAUCCCAUUCCAUUCAGAAGCAAACCAAGCAACAAUAUACAUGCAAGCACCUGACAAAGACAUGCAGCUACGAGAGAUAGGCAAUCAGACGGCACCCGCAUGAAACACGCGCCCCGCGCCUGGGUGUCACCUGGACUGGGAUGAGCCAACAAACCAUGCAAAAGCAAGAUUCAGGGCACCAUCUCAGCAACCAUCCAUCCAGUCCUACCAUGCACACAACUAAUGGCAACUAGUACCAGCAAGGAGAACAUUUACUUGUGAAUUAAGCCUGGCAUGGGUUGCAAAUAUGUAAUGCAAGGUCGGCGAUAUGCCAUCUUCUAAUAACUAGUAGCAGGCGUGCCAUCAACCACAUACAAACCACUAUUCAACACCAAACCAGCAGUAUCAUCUGGCACCCAACCUACCCGCCUACCAUUCACAACCUCAGCAGCACCAGCCAUCUUGCCAAAACACCACCAAAAAGCAGCCCUUUGCCCGCCAGGCCACAACCUUGCACUCAUUGACCUCCAUGCUCACCAAAUGAACCGUUGGUGCAAUGCAAAACCACAUCAUCACCCUGACCCAAUUACAGAUCGCACAUAUACAUACAUGAGCAACAUCACAACAAGCUGCUCAUCACAUUGCUUUCUCUUCAAAAUGUGGCUUUGGAUAACCAAAGAGCAUCAUUGCGCCGCACUGCAUGCCUGACUAACCCACCUGUAAGCUUUCUUGCAAUUAUCCAGAAAGGUUUCAGAAACCCCAUUAGCCAUCCCCAGCUUGCGCCAAGGGAAUACAACACAUUGUGUUAGCAACUGUACAUAUCUUUUUCUACAAUUCUACAUUUUACCUCUUCAAACCAAAGCAUUUAGCUGCCUAUGGAAGCUCCCCUCAACUCCAUCCAAGUCACCAAUAUCCUCAUUAACAAAUCAAAACUUGUCUUCAUUUGAGUAACAUUCUUCAGACCUGUCACAGCAACAAAACAUUUAGUCAAACGAGUACCUUCAGACAGCAUAAGAUCAUACAUGAAAACACACAGAUCAAUGCAAGUAAAACAUCCAAUGGCACCCGCAAGGGAAAAGGGAGGGAAUCUACGUAGCAAAGCAGUUACCAUAAGCAAAAGCAAGAAAAUCGUGCCUCUGUAAAAGAAAUGCAUGCAAUUGCAGCCAUCUUGAUAUAAAACUGGAACUAUUUAUUGCUCAAUAGCUGUAACCUUGGAACCAGUGGCUAGAGCAGCCAAUAAAGCAAAGAGAAAUAAAUGAGCUUGGCCAAUGCAGCAAACAUGAAUAAUGACAAUUUUGACAUCCCACAUUCUCCUAAGAAGAUAAUCUAUCAAAUCAAUAAUAUACAGAGAAAAUGCUCCUAGAGAUUGUCAGAUAUUCUUCUCAGAGCUGACAUGCGCAAUUAGACAAAAAUAAAACACGAUAUUUUCUUCUUUGGAAUGGAGAUGAGCAAUGUUGUACAACAUUAUAGUGAUACUAAUGAGCAUUCAGAAUUUCUAAUCAACAGGAGACAUGAACCCAAAUAACAGUCGUGUGCUUAAAACAAAUUUGGGAUAGGACAAAAGUCACUAGAAUAGGAUGACACAAUAUAGUUUCUAAAUAAACUCUUUUUUUUGUUCAUUUUUGUGGUUGUUUAGAGAGGUCAAUGUCCCACAGUUAUGACUCACUUAGAAAACCAAAAUACACAUGUUGAACUUUCCAUCCUCAUGUGUUCAUGAUCUAAAAGUUAAAACCUACUUUGCAGGCAUAUAGGUUGGUAAAACCUGUAGCAUUAUUUUCAACAAUCCUACAAUAAAUUCAUCAUAAUGAGGUAUAUCUCCUUAUGAUAUUUAUUAUUUGAUUGCAAAAACACACAAUAUCUCCGCAUAUACAUCUAAACAAACUUUACGCAACCUUGCCACCAUGCGAUUACUAUUCUAAUUUACUUAAUGGAAUCGAGAAAAUUAUUUUUUGGAAAAUGACAGGAAUUCGUGUUCCUAUAUGUAUCACUGCGAAAAGUGUGUAUCAAUAUAGAACUCACAUCAGUCUUUGGAAAAACAAAUACACUAACUCUUAAAUCCCAAACAUACUAAAAUUAAUUUCAUACAAAACUAUGCAUGCCUAUGAGGACCUAAUGUAUCUGCUACCCUAUAAUUGAUUCCGAGCAUAAUUCCAGUCUAAAUCUAAACAGCAAACAUACUGCAGUUACUAAAAAGAAAAGGUGGUUGGGGCUUUCAUUAUAGUUAAAUGUGCUUAUCUAAUUGAACUUAGGAACAGUGUUGCAAAGUGAGCACAACAGUCCCAGAAAAAUGAGCUGCAGAAAAAAACCAGACACCACAACAAAACAACAUGAUAUAUAUAGAUAUAAGUUCCAAAUAUUUACUACCAGAACCUCUGGUUAUAACUAAUGCGUCUGAGCAAGAUACAACAAAAACAGUUUGCAAUCCUGAUCCAUACUGGAAGCAACGUUUAAGAUACUGAAAACAUUUGUGUCAUGUGAAACAUGAGCUUACACUAAGCGAGAUUAGUCUGCUGGAUGCUGUUGUCAAGACUAGUUACAUUGUAAAAUGUCCUUUCCAAAUACUAUGGCAGAUCUCAUCUUUACACCCCACGCAAGUGCAUCUUCAUCACAGAACAGACUAACAAAACCACCACUUGUUGCACUCAAUUUAAAUUGCCUCUAGUGCCCCAAACUUCCCAUGUCAAAACCUGCAUAAGCAUCAAACAGUUUUGAGAAAAGUUCAGAUCAUGAGUGAAUAGAUAGAUGAGAGGAUCUAAGACAAACCCAAAGGAAAGAUAACUCAGGCAAAAUACAAAGGCAGCAAAGAGCAAAGGAGAAAAAUGUACCUCAAGCAAGUUCAGUUUACAACUUUAUCAAGAAGGUCUCCAGCAGUUAAGUGUGUGAAUAUCAGACCUGGCUGGUAGCAUCUGAGGAACAACAUGACCUGUGAAAAGAAAAAUAGAAAAAGGCUUUUAAAAACAUAAGGAAGCAUAUACAUGCCAUCCAACAGAGCUGUUCCUUUCCCUAAAAUUGCAUAAGAAUAUCUGACAAGCUCCUAGACAUUGGAGUUCAAGGAGCCUGAUUGUCAGAGGAUCUUAUACAAAUUUAAGAAAAUUCAUAUGAAAACACAGCCCAUAUGGAUUGCAACCAUAAACUCUUUAGAAACCAAAGACCUGGUAGUGGUGCUCCAGAUGGCAAAUGGUUUCGAACAGUAUGUUGAUGAUUCAUAGGAUUCAUUGAAGAUCUGUCAAUGUUCGACCUUGAAUAUCCUACAUGAGAUUUUACUAUUAGUAUCAGUCUAAAAGCUGGUGCAAAAUAACACUUAUACAGCUUAUGGAAGAACAUACCAUCCUGCACAAAUGACCCUUCUGAGCAAGAUAAUGCUCUGCCACCUGCUAGCCAAUUAUUAUGCUGGUCAUCUGGACUGAAGUUACCAGAUGCCAUCCGCCAACGUUCUUCAGAUGGAUAAUGGCUCUGACUGUUUGGAAAGGACUGCACAACAUAAGGAUUGCACGGAGGUGGUACAGCUUGUUGGCCCAUGGGAUUCAUGUGUGCAAUUCGAGGGUGGGAAUGUACGGGUGGCGUUUGCGUAGACGGAAAGGCACUGAAAUUCCCUUGCUGAAAAGGUACACCAGUAGGCCGAAACUGGUAAUUACCACUAGAAGUUUGUGGUGCCAUAAACACGUUGUUGUUUCCAUACUCUGCUGGCAUUGAAGGUACAAAAUUAACCGCAGCUUGUCCAUUGACUGGUCCACCAGGAACGAAGUUCGCUGUAUUUCCAAUACCUUGAAUUGAUGUAUUUCCUGUCAUCUGGGUCAACUGGUUACCCUGCAGCACAAGUCUUGUUUAUUAACUAAUCAAGAACACAUCAUGAUAUGCAAGUAAGUAAAAUAAUUACAUUGGGUGUCCUGAAGUACUCUGGAGCUGGAGGCCGAUAACCCAAUGAUGAUGGAGAUGACGGAACAGGCGGCGGAAUAGAAGGAAGAGGUGGGGCCUGGGUUGGCAGAGGUGGUGGAGCAGGCUGAGGAGGUGGUCCAGAAGGCAGUGGGGGAGGUGGCGGAGGUGGCGAAGCUGGCGAAAGUGGAAGUGGUGGUGGCGGCGGUGGUGUAUCAGGAGGCGGUGAAGGAGGCAAAGGAGGUGGAGGAGGUGGUGAAUCUGAUGGAAGCGGUGGAGGGACAUCAGGUAGAGGGGGGGGCUCAUUCUGAUCAAUCAAUUCAAGCUCUGAACCCGGCUCUUGACUACAGUCAUGUUCAACAAGGAUAGCUCCAUCAGUCUGCUGCUUGCUGCCCAGUAAUUCCAAGGCACCUUCCAUAGCAGCAUCAGCAGUUACAUUCUCUGGUCUAAUCUGUUCCUCAACAGAUGCUGGAGCAACAGUAUCUUCAGCUUCUUGAAUGCCAUCACUUUCAACAGGCUGCGAAAUAAAUGGCGAUGACCCAUUAUUUCGAGGUAAGUCUUCAUCAUCUUCAAAGACUUUUGAUGACAAAAUUCCAGAAAGCUCAAAAGUUGCAUUGCUGAGAACAGAAUAAACAAGAAAGCGUCAAUGAUGACUUGAAAAAAUAGAAAAAAUUGGGGAACUCUGCUGUGCUUCAUAAGGAAAGAAAAAUUCAAAAGAUAAUCAGGAAAGCAGAAAACUUCCAAUACGGGAGUUCAUUUAUUCAAAAAGCAUAUUUUGAAAAUCGUAUUAGUGUCUUUUAUGUGGUCAAAGCAUGUGAUAUUACCAUAGCACAUUCUAGGUUCCACAACACUAUACAUAACAACUACACUCUGUGAUGAACAAAUAAAGCCAUGCAUACGUUGGGAAGGUAAUAGCACUGAUGUGCUUGUUGACUUCUUAAACUAAAAAGAUACAGAAAAUCUACUUCAUGUCAAAAUAUGGCCCCAACACGAUUAUUACUAUCCAGCACAUACUAACCAAGGAAACCUAAAAUAUAAUCAAACAAUAUGGAUAAACAUCAACUUUUAAGUUGUAUAUCCGGUCGUCAUAUACUAAUCUUAUAAUCAAACUCGUUAUAAAUUUAAAAUAUUCAGUUGAUGAAUCCACCAGAACUUACAUCUCAAGCUAGAAAAAUAAAAAUAGUCGAAUGAGGUAUAGAACUAGUAAAUGGUAUAUCAUGUUAUGUGAUACCUUCCAUACUCAUCAACAAGCAUGUCAUCCAUCUCCCUAAUAGGAUCAUCUACAGAGCGUUCAGCGCGGGAUGGUCGCUUCAACAUAAAACUAGUGCUAGUAUUAUCAUUUGGCACCUCAAUAUCGCCCAUGUAUUUUCGGAGUAUGUCUUCAGGCAUAAUCUUUCUCUCAAGCCACAAUCUUAGAACCUACAAAGCCAGGUGAGAAAAAAAAAAGUGACCUACUGUUAAGGAAAAACGAACAGAAUCAGUAGUAACGUCAAUACUUUAAGGCACUGGCGCCGGUUUUCGCGAGCACCAGCUCCAGGUGGAGCAGCAGCACCCAAAAGACGAGGCAAUGCAGCUUGAACAGUGGGAACAUAUGAAGCCCCGGCAACACCUGAACAUUUCAGAAUUCAGAUGAUAGGGACAAAUUUUGGGGCAUCAGAUAGCUCUGAGAACAGGAUUAAAUGUAAUACCUAAAAAAAAUUACCUCUCUGAGAAUGCGAACACUGGGUUAUAGAAUCCACAAGAAAAAGGAGGUCAAUUCUGCGAUGCAAAUUAGGCUCUCUCUCCAACUUCUGUACGAGAAGCUCGACAAUCUGGAUAAGAAAUAGUAAGGACAGUAACGAUGUAACAGUAAUGCAGAUGGCAUGUAAGUUCGUAAGCAUGUGUGCGUGCGCGCGCACGCGCGCGCGUGUGUGUGUGUGUGUGAGAGAGAGAGAGAGAGAGAACCUCUCCAGCAAUGCCAUAUUUAGAGCACUCAAUUGCAUGGCGUGUUGCACGGCCUAUACUCUCCUUUGUCCUCGAUAGUGUCUCUAUCAUUCCUUCCAAAGCAUCACGAGCAAUCGCUGCAUCAGUACCAAUGCUAGGUGAACCGCUGACCUGCCUAGAUUUGGGACUCUUUCCAUGCUCAUGGUCAAGCUCCGUUGGGCUUUUCAGAACAAUACGUUCACCAGGACUCUCGGGAAAAGCAAUUCUGGAUGGGGAUGGAAUGCGAAAAACAGGACUAGGGCUUAGUCCCGGCAAACCAUAUUGUGUGGAGGUCAUACCAGCAUUAUCAGUCAAAGACCCAUCAAACUUUCCAUGAGCAGAUGCCAUAAGGUUCCUCCUUGCUUGAGCAGCUGCAAUAAGAUGUUUCAUUGACUUGACAGAGUCGGAGUUAGGUUCAGAAGAAGCUGCUUUAUCAACAGAAAUGGACCUGCAAAAGAGAAAACCACAAACUAUCAACAAAGUGCACAUCUAAAACUGUUGGAAUGCAAAUAGAUGAGUAUCAGUAAGAAACUUGGUCAAUUCAAAAUUCAAAGCAGUAUACCUUUCCUCUUUUAAGUGAUCCCGCUUCGCACCCCGUUCAGCUGACACAGUGACAGUGGUGCUCACCUUAUGCUCAACAGCCUGUGCCCCAGGCUUAGAUUUAGCCUUCGUGUCUUCUGAUUUGGGCAGCGAGUUUUUUUCUGAGGCAGGAUAGUUUCGAGAAUGGGAGUUCCCAGAUGUUAGGUGCAAUUGUUUAGAAGAACUAUGAAUUUUCUUCACCUCAGAGGAUGUCGGCAUUUUUACUUGACCAGAGGAUUUGCGAUCAACCAGGUUUGUUUUGUUACCCAUGCCAGCAGAAGUAUCGACUGAGCCUGUGAUUGAUCUUCUUCCAAUUGCCUGGUGUCUGGCAUGCAUUUUAUCCUGACUCGGUGAAGAACAAACUAGCUCCUGCCUCACAGGUGACAUUCCAACACUUUUAGAUUUCUCUUCUCUUGCCGGGCCCGAUUUUUUUAUAGAAGCAUUGCCAGCAUGAGAUGAAAUUUUUCCCCGAGUACCUGCCUUGUCAGCAGGGACUAUAUGUGUAGAGAUAGAUUUGGCAGAAGUUCUAUGAAGUGGUGUUCUCUGUCCUUCAUCCUCCUCAUCAUCAAAGCGACAAGCCCUUCUCUUGGGUUUGGCCGAUUGCCUAUCAACACGUGAGGCAUCCUCCUUCAUGAUUGAACCCUUUUUAGCAGAAUCAGCAACAGUUGACUGAGUUGCAGAACCAGAUGUUGGUUCCACAACCUCGGAAUGAAGCCUUGAUACGGGUGAUAAGACACUCCCUGAUCUCCGUGCCCUACCAUCACUGAUACCAGUCUUAGGAACCGUAUUUUUACCUGUUUCUACAGUGGUAGACCUCUCAUAUUUCAUAGCAUUAUGCUUUUCACAAUCAAUGCUUAACUUUGUGUCACUUUGGGCAACUGUCUUAUCUGUUUCACCACCUCUGUCCAUAAGUCUUGGCUUUUUUGCUGGACGAGUAUCAGUAAUACAGUCCGUGGUGCGCUGCCCGCUACCAGGAAGAGACUUCUUAUUGGAAGAAAAUCCAGCAGAUGAUUUUCUACUCAACUGCUUAUCAGGCUUGCCGUGCACAAUUUCAUUAUGGUCCCUUUUCUCUGAACCAGUAGCAAGUGAUUGUUUUGUCAUGAUUUUGGACUUUUUAAAUUCUCUGCUCUCUUUGUCAGCACCCAUGUUUAAUACGUCAGAUGCAGCCUCAGGAGCAGUCCUUCCAGUAGAACUACCAAUAUCAGCACGCUUUUCCUUCCUUUCAGCAUUCCUCAACAGCUUGUUCGCUUUAGAUUUCUUUGGCACUUCAAGGGCACAAACUACCUCCAAGUUAGGGUCCAAAACAAAUCCUUCUGGCGGACAGCUCUCUUUUUCAUUUUUUACCUCUUCAUCCCUGUCUGCACGCACAGAAGUUGGUGAAUGCUCCUGUUCUCUGUACAUGUCAAGUGCAGACUUAGAUGCAACAGGCUUUUUUGUCUUGGGAUGCUCGGGAUCCUGUAGUAAAGAUGUUUUCUUUUGAGAAACUGAUAAAGAAUGACCCCCUAUUUCAUGACCACCAUCUUUCACGUCCUCAGCCCCUGACCCUUGCCCUGAAGCAAUUGAGUCAUCAGUAGGGCUAUCAGCUUCCAUUCGUCCCAAUCCUAGAUUCUCACCAUCAUCAGGUGACCUCACAAGGUGCUCUGUAGUCUUUUCACUCUGAUCAGGUAAUGCUCCACUUGCAGCUUCAGAUGAUUUUGGCAGCUCAUUAUAGGCCUUGCAGAUCUGCUCCACAGCUUCAUUAUAAGCUCGGACAUAUUUUUUUUGCACUUUAAUACUCGGAGCUCGAUCUAACAGAUCAUCCUUUGCCUUCUCCGUAAAUUCUUGAAGAUCUGCCAGAGGUACAAAAGCACUGCAGGAUGAUAUUUGUUCAUUAGCAACCAAGUGAUCAUAGGAAGGAAACACACCAAAUCAAGUGUUUAUCGUAGCAAGUAAAAACAAAUGCUUUAUUCAGCAAUCGUUUUACGAAUUAAAGCAACCUAUUGCAUUAAUCAAAAUUAAGUAAUAACUCUAUCAGUAUCAGCAUUAUCAGAAUAUAUCUAUAUAGUAUAACAUGGAAAACAGCUGCACGAACAAGCUUAAACAAGAUCAAGCUACAAAGAAAUAAAAACCAUUAUUGGUUAAUAUUUUGGAUACUACAGGCCUUAAGAGCGGUCCCGAGCAUUUUAUGGACUCAGUAAGCAAAAUAUGAGGCAUAAAGCAACAAAGUGAGGUAUUUCAGGAAUCAAUUUCUAGCAAUAAAUUCUUUCAUCUCCAACCUAAUAAAGAAAAUCAAGCCUCGUGAUUGGCCAUGCAAACAGCAGCAAGCAACCUAACAUCCACAGUUUAUACCUAUAUAUUGCACGAGUUUUUACUCUUUAAACUAAUGGGUCGAUUUGGCACAUACGCACAAAAAAAAUCUAACAAUUGUUAGUUCAUUAAGGGUAAACACCACCAGGAAGAUAGCCAGGUGGAGUCAGCUUGGAAGGAGACUAGACUAUUGGGGGACUUGGGAUUAAUUCUUCUUCAUUCAUUGACUAUAAUGUGGAUACACAUAUAUAGUCUAACAAUGCCUAAUCUAAUCCAAAAACUUAAUCUAAUUAUCCUAAUUAAUCUGAUCUGCUGCCGCAUGGGUUAUUGUGCAUGUGCCUCCUCCCUGGCUAGCUGGCCCACUUGCUGGGUUAGCCCAUAACAACCAUCUAAGCGAACUAGUCAGACAAAGUAGAUGUGAAAGGUGGUUGAUUAGAAUUGAAACUCCAAUUCCACCUGUCUAAAUUUACAUUUUUCUUUAAGAUGUUGAUGUAUAAAAGCCGCUUUGCCAAAAGAGAAAGGGUGAAGGAUUCUGUUCUCCCUAGAACUGCAAAGUACAUAACUAGCUAUUCAAGGACCCCCAUGCAGCUCAGCAACAGAAAAAUUGGGAGGUGCACGAAAACUGUAAAUUUGACAAGUGCAUGAAAAAUUGCAGGCAACAUGCAUAAACAUGUACUCUCUUGUCGUCAUCUGAACCGUCUAGUUGUCUGAGCUAAACGACACUGAAGAAUAGCGUGCUAAACGUGAUUCAUUGCACGGCAGAAGACCUUUUAAUAUCCAUCUCCCCAUCAGUUCCCAACAGCAAACGCGGAAUCCAGGUUUGUGACGUGUUAAACAUACAGUCAUAAAUAUAAAUAGAAGUAGAAAAGCCCCUACAUUCAUACAGGUUGGACGACCAGGCUUAGUUAUUAAACAAGUAAUAAGUAACCAUCCGAGUGAAAGUUUUAGGCGAUUCAUAUACUAAGCAAGCGUGUUAGGCACGUGAACCAAUAAGGAAUGAAUUGAUGAGUUGCAAGAAUGGCAGUUACAAUAGCGGGAAACAACUGAUAACUAAGGUUAGCUGAUGCUGCUGGUCAGAAAUUGGUCGUUGGUGGUGUUAAAUGCAACUGGUAACUAAGGUUAGCUAGCAACUAUAUGCCUACUUUCCUGGCCUCAUUUUGCGCAUCAUGUGGACCAUGAAGCCUUGGCAUCGAAUAAACAUAACUAGCGCCCCCAUGUAACUCAGCCACAAAAAAAUUGGGAGGUGCACGAAAACUGUAAGUUUGACAAGUGGACAAUAAAUUGCAGGCAUAAACAUCUACUCCCUUGUCGUGACCUGAACCGUCUAGUUGUCCGAGCUAAAUGACACUGAAGAACAGGACGCUCAACGUGAUUCAUUGCAUGGCGAAAGACCUUUUAAUCUCCAUUCGUACCCAACAGCUAACAUGGAAUCGAGGUUUGUGACGUGUUUAACAUGCAGUCGUAAAUAUAAAUAGAAGUAGAAAAGCCCCUACAUUCAUACAGGUUAUUAAAAGAGUAAUAAGUAACAUCCUUACAGUGAAAGUUUUAGGUGAUUUGUAUACCAAGCAUGCGUGUUGGGCACGUGAACCAAUAAGGAAUGAAUUGAUGUGUUGCAAGAAUGGCAAUUGCAAUAGCGGGAAACAACGGUAAGGUAGAGGAGGUCGCCGGGCAAAGAACUUACAUCUCUCUGGUGCCGUAGAAGUAGACGAAGAACUUGCGCGGCGUUGGCGUUUGGCCCCACUCCUCAGGCCUGCUGAUCUGCGGAGACAGGAAUGCAGAGCGUUAGUUGAUCCCGCGUCAAGGGGUGAGGUGGAAAGGAAACCCUAGCCCAGCAGUAUGAGCGGCGGCAGCAGCAAUGGAGAGAGAGUACCUUGGCUGGCCAGGCCGGGUAUCCCUUGAUCUUGGCGAGGACGAGGUCGCCGAGCUGCGGUUCCCUGGUCCACUUGCGACCCUGCUUGGCGCCGCGCCUACCGCCGGGAGGCAUUGGCGGCGGGGGAGGAUGCCCCUCCCCCCAGCGUCGGGCCCUAACCUAACCCUAGCAGCAGAGAGCGGCGGGGGCGGCGGCCCCGCCCUAGGGUGGGAAGCCUCGCGGGUGGGAAACCCAGGCACCCGCGACCCUAGGGUAGGGAAAGGGGCGGCGGCGGUAGUCGGGCGCGGGUGGCUGGCGAUGGAAUCGGCGGGCGGAUUGCGUGCGAUCCCAGCCGCUUCCGCUUCCUCCUCCGCUUUGUAGUAGCUGCUGCUAGGAAUCGCUUGGAUGAGGAUGGGGAUGUGGCGGCGGCGGCGGCUGCCUCUUCUUCCUCCUCGCCUCGCGUCUCCUCCUCCUCCUCCUCCUCCCCUGCGGUGUGCGGUGCGUGCGGAUGCGGCUUGCUCUGCUGUUGUGCGACUGCAGUGUGGGCCCCGCUUCCCUUCCCCCUUCCUCGUGCCGUGCUCAGGUCAUUUCAUCAUCGGAGAAGACUCCCCAGCAGCCGCCCGAUCUGCAUCGCACGGCAACAACAGAAAGCUCGUGCCAGAUCGGAUGCCACGCCAUCCCCCUCCACUUUUAUCCCAUUUUCUUGCAGAUUGAAGAGUAUCUCGACCCUUAAGGGCUAAGGGUUAUUAACCCUGCGUGGUUUUCCACGGAUGGGGAUUUCCCUGGUUAAUUUAUUUCCUUUGAUUUUCCUGGGCACCGCUGCCCCCUUCCCCUUUGCUGUUUGGCACCAAAGAAAGAAAUUAAAAGGAAAUUACUCUACUCUGAUAUAUAUAUAUAUAAACCCUAUAUAUAUAUAUAUAUAUAUAUAUAUAUAUAUAUAUAUAUAUAUAUAUAUAUGAUAUGUGGAGAGCAGCAAGAUCUUUCUGCCUUGUGAAAAUUGACAAACACCACGAGAAACUUCAUGCUUAUCUAACAACAACUAGAGACCAUACAAUAUUUGUCUUCCCUGCUUAACCCAGACUACAGCACAUAUGUGUUGCACAGUUACGACUACGACACAUAGUAGAAACAGAGCAUUCAAACAUAUGGAAGUGAUUCUUCAGCUUCCUGAGCUCCUCCUUGACACAGAUUUGUAGUCUUUCUUCCACAUAGGGAAGUGAUUCUUUAGCUCCUUGAGCUCAACAAGAUAGCAUUCAGUUACGACAAUGAUUAGCAAUGUCAAAUGUCUCAUGGUAAAAACUUGCAUACUUUGACUAGCAGUUAUUAGCAGUAUCAUUUAAAUCAUUGGCAAUCACUAGCAUACUUUGACUUGACAUCUGCUUACUAAUGUAAAUUGCAUGACGCGAAGCCAUUUCAGCAGUUGAGUCAGAAUUAUACAACUAUAUAUGAUAGGUGUUCCGGGUGGACGUCCAAAUUACCUGAACAGAUACCAUUUUUCAGCAUUCAGACAUUGCAAACAGUGAUUCACUUUACACUCAGACAGAGUAAUAAAACUGUAAAAGUACACUUCAAUUCGUUACUAGCACACAUAUGGAUGGAAAAUGCACUAGAAGAAAUAAAAGAUUUAAAGUACCAAUGCAUUGCAGAUCUCACUAAUCAGCUUUGCUAGGUAGCAUCUAAUUUGCCAUUUUUAAAGAGAUAAGUACCUUUGGGAUCUUGGCAACUGACUCUCGGAUCAUGUAGUGCUUCCCACCAGGACUCUGCAAUUAAAAAAAAAGUGAAAUAAUUUAGCCAUGUCAGCAGCAGAAGGUUCACACAAAGUAAAAUUUUACAUGGUUAGACAUGAUGAGACAAGUAAAGUUUUUCAUGAACCAUACACUGAGCAUAUUCAAAGAGACAUACUUGAUUUUUCGCUUUAGCCACAUUAAUCGAACAUUAAGAUUCUUGGUUGUAAUGAAUAUCUUCCUACGUGUCUCGGACUCAGAGACAUCCAAAGCAAAUGACUUCUCCUCAUCGGUUAAUUCAACCAUAGCAUCCACUUGAUUGACACACUUCUCAACUGAAAAUUCUUCCUCACACAUUUUCCUUUCUUCAAGAGCUUGCAAAGUUUUGUUGGUUUGGCUCUUUUUGUACUCCACAUAUCCCUCAAGAUCGGAGCCGAUGUGACUUUUCUUACACUUUCUCCUACUUCCACCUUCUUCCUGUCUUGAAUCUUGAGCUUCAUUGCGUUCAUUAUGUGCAUUAGAAGUCUCUUGGCCAUCGAAACUCAAAGAAAAUGGACUCGCACCCAAGUGACUGCUGCUUUGUUCAGAGUUACUUCUUUCAACAAGAGGUGCAGGAGGAGGAACAGUAGGAGCAACAGGAGGAGGAGGAGGUGCAGGAGCACAAGGUGGAUCCACUUGCAUGGUUGAUGUGAAGUUUAGAUUUCCUGUAGCAACACUUCCUAUUUUCAAGAGACAAUUGGAACUCAUAUUAGAACCACAAAAUUAUUUGAUGCUGAAAGCAAUAAAUUAAGCUAUGCAAGUGAGGGGACUUCAUUAGUGCUACCAAUUGGUAAAAGAGGGGAAAUGGCUUUUUGCGAAACUUUGCUACUCUUGGGUGAUUCUAUUGAAUGUAACAGAAAAGGAUAAUUAGUUAACAACAAAAACUUAGCUACUUCUUAGUAUAUUUUAUAGAGUCCAAAUGGCCUACUGCAAUUAGCUUCUCCCAUACUUGUGGUUCCGUUAGUAUCGUACACAAAGAUUCAUUCCAACCAUUACCACUGUCUCUUUUAGCAUCUCUUAGUGCUUUGUAAUUAGCUUUGAGCAUCUUCUCCUUUUCAUGUACCUACUUCUUUGUAAAAUGAGCUACGGGAAACUUCUCAUUGAACUUGCUGGUGAUAAUCCUCCAACCCUCUGAUACCCAACCAUUCUGACCUUUAUAUUUGGGGUUAUCUUUGUAGUCAAGUAAUAUUUUAACAAAAUGUUUCUCAUCCUAUCAGCUUAACCUGCCAUGGCUGCAUUUCUCAAAACAUGUUAAGAUGAAGUACAAAGAAACAUAAUCAAGAUCAAGGUGCCUCAAAAAAAGAAAUUCAAGUACAAAGAUAACAAUUGCAUUAAAAAUGCACUUAUUACAAUAAUGUUUGCAGUAGAAAGUUCCAAAAAUUACAUAAGCAAAACAUAUACAAACUAGAGGAAUCAAACUAGACUAAAUAUUAUUAUUAUAAGCAACCCACAUUUGGUGUGCAAUCUGAUCUUUUAGACUACUACCAUCGUUUGACUCCGCCUUACUUGGAUAGUGUUGCCCCCCUCCGGCACAUUAACAUAUUGAUCUGUUGGGAUAUACUCUGCCACCCCUCUUGACCAUUUUACCCUCUAAUUAUAUUGUGAAAUGCAACUACUGCAGCUGCAAUCUUGAAUUGAUUUUCUAUGGGAUGGAAAGUGCCUACUUUUAGAAUCAGGAACCUCUUCUUUAGAACACCAAUGUCCCUCUCUAUAUGGUUGCGAAGCAAUGCAUGGCGAUGGUUAAACAGUUCUUUGUAGUUUGCAUAACCACUUUAAGACGAACGACGCCUUCUAAACUCACUGAGAUGGUACCGAACUCCUCGAUAUGGGGCAAUAAAGGAUGAUGUAUUUGCGUACCCACCAUCUACAAGAUAGAACUUCCCCUCUGGCAUAAUAAAUUCUUUGCUAACAGCAGAUCUAAGGAUUCCUGCAUCUGAUGCUGACCCUUCCCAUCCACAUGAAAUGAAUGUGAAGUUAAGAUCGAAGUUGUAGGCUAACAUAACAUUAUGUCAUAGGGUUCCUUUCCUAUUUCUGUAGGGAGGGACCUUGUCUUCUGCGAUGGUGAUUGGUAUGUGAGUGCCAUCGAUUGCACCAAUGCAAUUCUGCGCGGAAGGAAAAAAGAUAAGGACUUGGCACGCAAAGAAAGAAAAGAUUGGGGAAAGGAUUAUGCACACCUAAAAGAAAGGCAUAAAACGAGGAUCUGUCGCGAUUUUGAUAUGAGUUUGGAAUGAACUUGGAAAUCUCACAAAUCGAUGAGUUAAGGCAGGAAUUAUUUUGAAAACUUCUGUUAUUUUCCUAUGGAUUGUCUCACCGUUGUGUUGAAAAGCUUUCUGUAGCCUUUGGUUGCUAGUAUUGUGUGAGAGCAUAAACAUGAACAUCCCAAGCUGCUCCUCAACAGGAACACCUCAUGUGUCACGGAGUAAAGUUCGUUGUGACUUUAAAUAUUUCAGGCUCCAUUUGGAACUCAACUUUACACCAACUUGGGUGCCCUUCAAGGAUUUCCUUAACCUUUUUGGCACCAGGAAGAGAAGAUGUGUGCAUAGGCAUUUUCUCUUCUUGUAGGUAUGGAAUUAUGGCAGGAACAAGUAAAAAAAUAGCUCAUCAUCCUCUUCCUCCUCCUCCAACAGGAACUGUCUAACUUGCUCCUCCCAAGAUCCCAUUAACUAGUGUAUAGUAACCCAUCAAAUAGAACAAUAAGAUUAGGCUAACAAACCAAUAUAGUAACCCAUCAAAUAGAACAAUAAAUCAACAACAACAGCUAGUCAACAACUUUCAGCUUGGAUUUCACCAUAUAGCCUAGGUCUCUAGAAAAAUAGGUUCCUAAAAGAUUUCAUACAAGGCUACAACCUCAUAAAUCAUGAAUUAUCAGAAAGGACAAAAAAGAUGAUGGAAUCAAACAGGACUGCAUACUUCAGGGUGAUGCACGAAUAGGGUUUUCAAUUAAUAGAAUUCAGCUAGCUGACAGCAUAUGAGCCAACUUGACAUAGUAAAUAGCAUUCAGCAUCACAUGUCAGUACUUCCCAAAUAAAAGACAAAGUGCUCAUUUUUUUUCUAACCACAAUAUGGCUAUAAUCAAUUCAAUCUCCAAUUCCACAAAUCAUCAGAAUUCUGUGCGGUCAAAUUAAUAGAAUAUCAUACAUUGCAAGCUACAAAUUUUGGACAGACCAUCUCAUCUGAAGUAUCUCUAUAAGCUAUGACCUAAACAAUAAAUAAAUAUUUUACAGACCAUCUGAAGUAUCUCUAUUUACAUUGCAAGCUACAAAUUUUGGACAAAAGAGCUACACUUUCAGGGUUUAGAUCACGGAAAUCAACUCAAUCAUGCAUGCAUCCAAAAGAUAUGUGCCAGAAGUUGGCACAACACUCUGGAAUAUGGAUUGUUGUCAAUGAAGAAAAUAUCUGAGAAAGCUUGUGCAGUAACAUAGCUGUUGUAAGCUAUGACCUUUUUGCACAUAAAUUAAAGAUUAGUGCAAACAUUACAUCCUGAGCCAACUGGCCACAACCUAAAAUAUGCUUUGCAAAAUAAAUUCUCAAAUCAGUAGUUCCUUUGUGGUUUUCGCAAAAUGCACAUGGUUUUGUAAAGGUCACUCAAGUAAUUUACAAUACAUAUCUCAACAUUCUAAAGUUCAUAUGCACAUAUCAGGUAAAAACCUACAAUAUGCUGCACUCAACAGUCAUGAAUCUUCCACAUAACUCAAGAAGACAGAUAUCUUCAACUUUGAGCCAAAAGAAAUAUAUUAUAGAUAAGAGCGUGAGCAGAAAAGGAGCAAAUCAACAGUUGGACAAUUUUUUGAUGACUAAGCUAUGAAUCACCUAAUGGUUGAUGGGGAGGCAGAGGUGGCAGCGGAGUCUGCCGCCAUAGGAAUCGAGUCAUUGCUGGAGUAGAACCCUAGCAAGAAAGUAAAUGAACGUGAGAAGAGGAAUAAGAGGAUUCGAAGAUGGGGAUUAGGGAGAAGGGAUGCAGGAGGUACAUCUGGACCUGGAUUCUUGGAGAGAGCACACGGGAGACGGCAGCGGUCGGCAAUGGCGGUGGGCGGUGCUACUCGCUCGCGUCUCUCGCGGGUGGAGGAGACGAGGAACAGGGAGACAGGGAAGGCCACCUGAUGUUUGUAGGUCGGGCGUCUUUCCGCGGGGCAAUUAGGCUCGGCUAGGCUGGAGUCCGCCGCAAAGCAGGCUGCCAAACACGCAAGCCCGACGCUGUGUGGAAAUAAUUCGCAUGGGCUUCCGGCGCGCGGAAAUGGCCGGUUUCCCCGCGGGGAACUGGGCUUCCAAAGGAGGGUGAUUUAAUGACUCAAAAUUAAGUGUCUAACAAAGUUUCAAGUGCAUUAGUAGGUUUAAAAGGAUUAUUGGUCAUGAAGCACUUGUGAUGGACCCCUCAAAAGGAAAUUAAAUGAUAAACAACAUAUUCUCAAGUCUAAAUUUAUUUUCGGUUUGAAUUUGAGUAUAGGAAUGCCACACUAUUAAGAGGGAUACUGGUCUUUACGUUGAAAAAGGUGCUCAAGAUGACCUAACAAACCUAUGAGAGACACCCUUUGCACCUACACAUCACAUGAGGAUACUUAGUGGUGCUAACAUGAGAGUUCCAAAAUUUUUCAGAAUAUUCCGGAGGCUUAGAGUUUCCGGAGGUCCGGAUUUUCCUAGAAAGUUUUUCGGAAAAUUCCGAAGGUUCUAGAAGUUUCCAAAGAAAGUUCUAAAACUUAACCACCAACAGCUAGUUUCGGGAUGAAAGGGUAUAAAUACCCCCUCAACCCCUCCCAUUCAGUCUCUCUUGCCUCCUCACUGUCCUAAAAGCUUCGAAAGCAUUCACUCCUCUCUUUACUCCCCUCUUGGCCUUAGGUAAAGAUUUGGUGGGGGAUUUAAGGAGGGAUUCUUGAGAGAGCAAGGGAGUCUGCUAGUGAGCUGAAACUCCAUCUCUUGAGCACCUUUGUUCUUCAAAGAGCCGGCGUUCUGCGUUUGUUACUCUUGGAGCUUUAAGCUCCUAGCCGGUUAGGCGUUGCCCAGUUGAGCAUCCAAGUUUUGUGGCUGCCUCGGGAAGUUUGUAUUACCUCGACGAUUGAGUAAGUGACUCUACCUCGAUUUUUGUGGUCGCUAGAGCGAGGAAAGUGGCUUAGGAGUGAAAAGCUCACCCUUCGUGGGUCCUCAACGGAGACGUAGGCUUCAAGGUGUGAAGCUGAACUCUGAGAAACAAAUCUUUGUGUCUCUUGUGCUUGUUGUUCUUAAUUUCAUUCAUAUUCAAGCAUAGAAUAUAUUUCUAGGGUUUGUGCUCGACCUAAUUUUCUAGCAAGUUUAGAGCUGUGCUAUCUUGUGUCAAAGGCUUAGAAUAACCUGUUGAACAACCUAUAUUCAUCCAUUUACUUUUCAGCAAGUUUAUCUUGAGGUGUAGUUGAUUUCUGUCAAAGUCCAGAAAAAUCCGAAGAUUUCUCCGAAAAUUUCCGGAAGUUGCUGAUAAGCUUGUUCGAAAGUGUAAAAAUUUUCAGGUUCGACUAUUCACCCCCCUGUAGUCGACAUCCUAUAUCCUUUUAAUUGGUAUCAGAGUUUUGGUCUCCGGAUUAAAGCUUAACCGCUUGGAGUAUCAAGAUGUCGACAUCGGGGAAUCAAGAAGUGCCUCUAGGAGGUGAUGUCUCCAACCCAAUCGCCACUCAACAAUCAUAAUGUUCUAGUUGUAGUCUUGAUAACUCUACGGAUGGGAAAACCUCGUACACCCCCCAGGGGAGCGUGAGCAGUGGGCCCAUUGGUAGCCAAAAGUGUCCCCAUUGUGUGCCAAGCGCACAAUCACCUUGGUAAGCAUACAUAAAUUUGAAGCGGACUAAUGUGCAUUGUCAAUGUCGCUUUUCAUGGUUUAUGAGGCUCAUGCAUUCAUGGGUCCUAAUACGCUCGCGAUGAGUCCCACUAGCACAUCGAUCACUUGUUGCAUGAAACAGCGAAGGAGUUGAAGCUAUGGAGCUCCAUAAAGGUCGGCAGUAUUCGCACUCAGAUUCAGGUUGCUAAGGAGGUUAUUUUCUGCCUUGAAGUAGCUCAAGGCCUUAGGUCGCUAUCCCCGGUUGAGAAAGCUCUUCGCCACUUAAUCAAGCUUAGAUUUCUUGGGCUCAUCUCCCUAGAAUGCACCGUCGCUCGCCAAUGAUCCUCCAUGCGGUGGCUACAUGAUGGCGACGUUAAUACCAAGUUCUUUCAUCUCCAUGCGAAUCAUCAUCGACGGAAAAACAAUAUUACUUCGCUGGAGGUGGAUGGGGUCAUUCUUACGGGGAGGAAGAGAAGGCAGAGGCAAUCUUCAACUACUUUGAGGGGAUUCUGGGCUCCUCUUAUGAUAGGACAUGCGUUCUCAACUUCAGGACCCUUGGCCUCCCCCGACUAGAUCUUUCUAACUUAGGUAGCCCAUUUACAGAAGUUGAAAUAUGGGAUGUCAUUAGAGAAAUACCUCCGGAUAAGGCUCUCGGCCCGGACAGAUUUACUAGUCGCUUCUAUACUAUGGCUUGGCCGAUGUUCAAGUAUACUAUGGCUUGGCCGAUCAUCAAGGGGGAUAUUAUCAGGGCUUUUGACGCCCUCUCAUCAAUGGACUGCCGAAGCUUCUACCUCUUGAAUGACGCACUACUAACAUUGCUGCCAAAGAAAAAUGACCCAUCCUCCCUGGGUGACUACCGUCCCAUAAGUCUCAUCCAAGCUUCGGCAAAAUCUUCCCCAAAGUUCGAGCUAAUUGUUUCGCUAUGAAUUUAGGUAGCUUAAUAUCACCUAACCAAAGUGCUUUCAUCAAAGGUCAUCAAAUUCAAGAUAACUUCUGGUAUGUCCAGGGUACGGUGAAGACUUUAGCUUCAAAAAAGAUGCCCAGGAUAAUGUUUAAGAUUGAUCUGGCAAAGGGUUUUCACUCGGUCUCUUGGGUCUUCCUUUUGGAACUAGGAUGCCCAAGAAUUUGGACUAACCGGAUCUCCACGUUGCUUUCCAUGGCGAGCACCAAGGUUCUUCUCAAUGGUGUCCCUGGGAGGAGGAUUUUCCAUGGUCGCGGGCUGAGGCAGGCGGACCCCUUCCCCGAUGCUCUUUUUACUUGUGAUGGAAUGCUUCAAUACCAUGGUCAACUUAGCGGAGGAAAGGGGUCUUCUCGACACGCUAGGCACUAACAUCAGACAUAGGACUUCACUCAAUGCGGAUGAUGUGGUUUUGUUUCUCACACCGGCAGAACAAGACCUCGUAGUCGUCAGGGAGAUCUUGACCUGCUUUGAAAAGGCUACCGGCUUAUCUACUAACUACUCGAAAAGUCAAAUGUUCCCCAUCAUCUGCUCUGACGAACAUAUUAACCUGGCCAAGGAAACAUUGCGGUGCCAAACCUCGAAAUUCCCUUCUACAUACUUGGGCGUUCCGCUAUCGAUUCGCAAGUUGCCUAAGUCCUCGCUACAACCGCUGGUCGAUAAGGUCGCUAAGCACCUACCCGCUUGGAAAGGGAGGCUGCUUAAUAAGAGCGGGCAUCUGACUCUAGUGAAGUAUACACUGUGUGCGAUCCCGGUGCACAUUUCUAUGGCCACAGCUAUUUCCUCUUGGGCCGUUAAGAAUAUUGAAACCUUGAUCACGGGAUUCUUGUGGUGCGGUACUGAGGUCGCUUCUGGUGGGAAAUAUGCGGUCACCUAGGUUAACGCCUUCUGCCCUACUGUCUAUGGAGGUCUUGGCAUCCUGAACUUACAGCUGAUGGGUUUGGCGCUUAUAAUGCGUUGGAUGUGGCUUGCGCGAAUGGAUGAUACGAGGGUGUGGAGAGGCUAUCGACUCCCAACUUGCCGGCUAUCUAAAGCCUUCUUUGAUGCCACUGUCACGGGCGUGGUGGGUAACGACUAUUGAGCCUUGUUCUGGUCAGACCGUUGGAACAACGGUUGUUGUAUCCAAUCUCUGGCGCCAAACCUUUGGGCAGCCGUACCACCAUGCAUAAGGAAUAAGCGCACGGUGUGUGAGGGGCUGACCGAUCAACAUUGGAUUAGCGACAUCUCAUAUGCUCUCACGGUACAGGUAAUUCUGUAGUACCUGAGGAUAUGGGAUUUGCUUCAGGGUUGGACUUUAAACCGGUCACCAGACAAGUUCGUAUGGAAGUGGUCACCAUCUGGGGAGUUUUCUUCCGCUUCUGCUUAUAAAGCACUUUUCCUGGGCAGGUCGCAUCUCCUCGCGGCGCAACAACUUUGGAAGGUUCAGGCCCCAGGUAAAUGCAAGUUCUUCAGAUAGCUCAUUCUACAUGGUCAUUGUUGGACUUCUAAUCGUCUCCGUCGCCAUGGGCUCCGUGACAGAGACGAUUGUGCUCUGUGUGCACAAGAGAUGGAAACUAUAGAUUAUUUGCUCACCGGUUGUGUACAUAGUCGGAAAACGUGAUUUCACACUCUUUGUUAUGUGAACGUCCAAACAUUAGUGCCCCAAGAGGAAGGUGCGGUCGCUUCAUGGUGGCUACAAUCUCAGAAGAGGGUGCCUAAACCACGUCGGAAAGGGUUUGAUACCCUGGUUUGGUUAGUCGCUUGGUCGUUGUGGCGGGAACGGAACUGUCGGGUGCAUGACCGAUCCACUCUACAGCCGGUGGUGUUAGCUCCCGCCAUUCUGGAUGAGGCAAGGCUUUGGGCUUCGGCGGGCUUUGUAGGGUUAGCCGGGCUAUUAGGGAUCAGGAGUUGAGUGUGCUUGUUCUUGUUGUUCGUUUUGCUUCUUUCGGACUGUACGCUUCUUUUUUCUUCUUGUAAACAAACUCUCUUCUUCUUAAUGAAAAACAUACUCAGCACCUUCUAUAAAAAGAGUCCUACUAGCACGCAGCAACUUGAUUAGGAAACACAUAUUCUAGAUACUAAUAUCUUUAAUUCACAUCCUGUCUUAUUAUUUUGGGAGGGGACUCACUCCCGCAUGACGACUUAGACGUCGUGUGCAUUCUAGUUUUGGAUAAUAGUGAUCGUGUUGCUGAUCAUCUCCAAAAGUGCCCAAUAAAAUACUUCUAAUAACUAAUUUUGGAAUGAAGAUGAAAAAACAGUGCUCAUGGAAAAAAUGGUGGAGAUGAAAAAAGUCCCCAGUUACUGUUCAUGGAGGGGGAGGGGGGGUUUGUCAUGUUGGGCUCCCCAAUUACAUCGGACUAAUUUUUUUGGAACGGUUGGUUAGAAGGGUAUUUUUUUUUCCUCCAAUAGUUUUUGGCAAGAUUCCAAAAUCAAAUUUUUGAUAUUUUAUUUAUUAUUAGACACUCUCGGAGAUGCUCUGACCAAAAGCAUAGGGCAAAGACCCAAGACUAACAAAUAUGCCUACACUGAACCACCAAUUUGUUUCAGGGGGUGUUUGGAUACUACGUGCUAAACUUUAGCAGUGUCACAUCAGAUGUUCGGAUGCUAAUUAUAAGGACUAAACAUGAGCUAAUUAUAAAACUAAUUGCACAGAUGGAGUUUAAUUCGCGAGACGAAUCUAUUAAGCCUAAUUAAUUCAUCAUUAGCAAAUGGAAACUGUAGCACCACGUUGUCAAAUCAUGGACUAAUUAGGUUUAAUAGAUUCAUCUCGCGAAUUAGACUCCAUCUGUGCAAUUAGUUUUAUAAUUAAUCUAUAUUUAAUACUUUUAAUUAGUAUCCAAACCUCCUAUACGACGAUGCUAAACUUUAGCACACUACAUCCAAACAGACCCUCGGUCCCGCGUCGCGCCACGCACAUGAUAAACAGGGGUAGUCGAUAUUGUGGCCUCACGAGGACUACUGCUCCUAUCCUAUAUUCCCUACUGGCCCUACAGUCAUCUGCAUAAGAUCCAGACCACAGGUUAUGUCCAAACAUGCAAUCGAAUGAGGUUAUGUGCUAGGAAAUCCCCCGUUUGAAUACAAUAGUUUCUGUGGUAACCUUCAGUUUCUGCAUAAGUUCCAGACCACUUUUGUUUUUCUAAUUCGAUUCCAUGUUUGGACAUCUGGAAUAUUUGGUUGAUACAAUGAGUUGCACCAUAAUUGCACAAGUUCCAAUCACUUCUUUUAUCUUAUAGGUCCAAAAUAUUUACAAGAAAAAGGAACUACGAAUGUUGUUCAGAAUGCAAUGCAGAACUCGAGCAUCCAAAUACAACCGAAUUAGAGAAACAAAAAACGCAAACUACUUGUCCCGCUCAGAUGUAGGCUCAUUGGCAGCACUUCCAAUGUUCUCCCAAAAUUUCUUCCUUUUCUCCACCCACCAGGAGUCAAGAAGUCAGAGACUCCUGAUUCUCUGUUUUCCAUCUCAUCCCAAUGCGAUGGUGACCCAGUCAUGAAAGUUGAUAAUCACUUCAAUUAUGAACUUAUGGUGAACCCAAAAAAGCCAUCUUCGACGCUGCUACACCCACAUCAAGUUGCGUCUAGGGGUUUGUCUGCUGAAUGGCCUUCUCCCCACGGAUAAUCUUUAUAAAAACACAAAGGUAAAAAUGAGACAUCAACAAAAUAUAUCGAACUGGCAAUUUAAUUUAAGUACCUCAUGACCACAGGUUCAUGGAAUCAGAAAUUUUGUUCUAGCUUUUACAUAUUUCAGUGAGCUAUGUCACACGCAAUUAACUGAAUUUAAGGUUAUGAUUGCUAUAUGAACGUAGGGAGUAAGAAAUUUUGCGUACAAAUUUGCCGGGCACGGAGUUCUUGUAGAUAAUGAGCGCAUCUCCUGCCUGAAGGCCAUGUGUCUUCACAAAUUCACCUGACAAAGAGAAUUGAAAUGGAUCAAUCUAUCGAUGUCUGGAUACCUAGGAGUCCACAAAGAAUUUGAAGCUGUAUCCAAAUUCCACACUGAAGCAUACCUGCAGCUUCCAGAAUAUACAUUCUGCUUUUGUUGUUUGGCCAGAAUCUGAAAUAGCAUAUCAUAAGUAUCAGGACACAUUUGAAUUUAGCGACAUUAAAAUGCAUCAGUUUUUGCAUGCCGUGCCUAUUAUGAUGUAAUGAACCCAGAACUCUGUGCCAACUUGACCUCCAAAUUAAGAGCACAAAUUAAUUUAUACAACGCCUUCAACUUCGCAGCUUUUGUCAGGAAAGAAGUUAUGACCUCGGGGUAAGAUGUGUCAUUUCAAAGAUGUCAUAAGACAAUCUAAGAGCAUAUACCUAUACUUAAAUUUCCAUGUAACUGGAAGCACCAUGUCAUCCAUUUGCAGUAUCAAAGGAUCACCUUGCACCAAUGGUGGAAGACUAGCCUCAGCAUCCUUCUGCAAAAGAUUAAGAUAGUUACAUUAUAGGGCAUAGUUGACAGUGCCAUAAUUCUCCAAGAAUAAAAAGGAUAGACAAUUUCAAGCAAUAGAACAUGCCUUGGGUAGCACGAUUCGCCCGACAUUUGCAACAUCACUCUUUGUCAACUCCUUGCGCAAAACGACUUGGUACUCUCCAGAGUUGAAUUUCUGAAAAGGCAUGUUGUCCCCCAUGCAAACAGUGGCACAGGAAGAAAAAUAACUUGUUAACUACAAGAGAAGUAUUAUUUUCCAGCAACAUAUCAAAUGCAGAUUCGGCACAAGAUAUGCGCCAUAGAAGAAAAAACGGACAUAAAAGUGUGUGAUAUGUAUCACGUUACUCACAGUGGUGCAGCUUUCAUGACUAGGCUUUGAUUCAGGAAGAGUGGCAACUGAGUCAGGAUGGACUUCAUCACUGUUUCUAGUGUCCAUUUCAUCACUGUUUGUAACUACUGUAGGCAAAUCCUGUGUGCCACGCAUCGGAGCAGACGUAAAAAUUAGGAAGGGUGAAAUCGCGAAAAUAAUAAAGUUUGUCAUAACCGUGAAGGUUCAUAUCUUUUCUGUACCUCUGAAUUGUCAGCUUCAUUGGCAGAUAUAGAUCCUUCCAUGGGAGACAUGUGGGCGCAUAUGUUUGGUCCAAGGGACAUUGUAGUGAAAGAGUCAAACCCAAGGCUGGAUGCAGAACCUGUUGUUUCAAUAGAAUAUGGAGAGACUGGUGCAUUAGAGUGCAAGAAUUUGGAUGCGCUGACUAUUGCAACACUGACUUCAUUAGUCGGCUCAAACUCAGAGUUAUCGGUUAAUGCUACAGUGGAUUCUGAUAAAUGUAUUGCACAACCACAGACCACAGUCAAUAUUAUAACGACAUAGAAAUAAAGUGCCAGCCUACGUGCUUCUGAUAGGCAGCAGGACAUAAACAGAAGAAAGAAGAGAACUAGUAAUGGCUAUAGGUAAUUAUCUAUGUCUGUGAGCUUGAAAGGAAUGAAAGCGAUACAUGUUUGGUCUGAGUUUGUGAAAGGACUGGAUAUAUGAAGGAACCGGGCAGGGGAUUGUAAUGCUGCUUGUCCCUGAACAAUAGUAGUAGUAGUAGUAGCAGCAGCAGCAGCAGCAAUAGCAACAAGAAGAAUAAGCAGGAGACAGUACCUGAAUCCUUGUCUGGCGGGAUGUGAGUAUGGUGCAGCGGGUGGGAAUUCUCGUCCUGUGGUGCAGCGGGAUAAGAAGUGUAGGGUAGUGCAUUCUUGUUAAGCAUGUAAUGGGUCCAUAGCGCGUAAGACUGGGAGAGGUUGUAGUGGAAGGGUGUGGUGGUGGUGGUAGCGGGGGCGGGCUGCGCAGCAACGGACGCGAAGGCACUGUUGGACGCACUCCAAUCGGAGAAACCUCUUGAAGGCUGGGAGUGGGGAGCAGCAUUGUGCGUGGAGGGUGCUGCUGCUGCUGCAUCAGCUCCUGGCCCUGCAUAUAUAAUAUGGGUAGGGGUGAGAAAGCAAGAAGAUUUUUUUUUUUGAAAUUGAAGAAAAACAAGAAGAAUUAGAAUGCAGAAUUACAUGGAUUCAGUGUUACUAGUAUGUAUCUAUCUGUGAAGGGGAAGCUUGGUUGCUUGCUUGCUUACAGUAUAAGGGAGGGAGAGACUGGGAGAGGCACAAUACAAUACAAUACAAUACAAUAGAAUGCUAAUGGGCGGGUUUGUCCUGCCGCGAAUAAAUUAUAGAUCGGUCACUGGUUCUCUUUUGUUGGUGUACCUCAAUGCAAAAUUAAGCAGCAAGCAGUAUGUACCGACGUCGCCGGAAAGGAGGGAAUUGGUGCCCUAAUCCUGCAAUCCAUCCGUCCCCAUCCCAUGGAAAUGGAAUCGAAGAGGAAGGAAUGCGGCGGAGAGAGAGAGAGAGAGAGAGAGAGAGAGAGAGAGAGAGAGAGAGAGAGAGAGAGAGAGAGAGACUGACCUGCGGCAGGUGCUCCUGGUGGCGCGGGGUGGUGGAGCGGGACGUGGUGGAAGGGGAGGGGAAACGAGGGGUGCAGGCUCUGGUCGGGGUUCUGCACGGCGUUCUAUUAUCCUCAGUUUNNNNNNNNNNNNNNNNNNNNNNNNNNNNNNNNNNNNNNNNNNNNNNNNNNNNNNNNNNNNNNNNNNNNNNNNNNNNNNNNNNNNNNNNNNNNNNNNNNNNAUGUACGUAUGUAUUGUGUAUUGUAGAGAAAAAGGCAGAGAAAGGGGGAAGUAUAGCAAUAGCAAUAGCCAGGCAGGCCGGGGACGAGGGACCACCCCACCCGGCGUUUGGGGUUUUGGGGUUGAGCGUUGGUGCCUUGCGCUGCGCUGCGCUGCCCCGGUCCUGCACUGUCUUCUGCCUCAGCAUCAGCAUCAGGAUUCCGGAGAGGGAGGAAGAGCGCGAGAUGGUGGGGAGGAGGAGCCGCAGCAGGCUGGGGGGAAGGGAUUGUGGGAAGGGGAAUGGAUGGAUGGAUGUGGGAGGCGAGGCGAGGCAGUCACGAGCUCCUCCUCCCCCUCAUCUAGCGCUCUCUCUCUCUCUCUCUCUAUCUGCUGCUGCUGCUGCUGCUGCAGACAGUGCAGGACCGGGGCAGCGCAGCGCAGCGCAAGGCACCAACGCCCAACCCCAAACCCCAAACGCCGGGUGGGGUGGUCCCUCGUCCCCGGCCUGCCUGGCUAUUGCUAUUGCUAUACUUCCCCCUUUCUCUGCCUUUUUCUCUACAUACACAAUACAUACGUACAUACAGUAC